rnacentral:lncRNA from 1 species
CCCGUAAUCAGACAAGAUCCAUGUUCGCCAUGGCUGCAACUACAGUUGCAUGUGAAAAAACAGGGCAUAGAAACCCAUUUCACAGACAAUCCGGGUCGCCCAGCCAAGAGAUGGGUCCUUUCAAAUGUCUGAUUUACUUGGAAAGUGUCAUCACAGCCACUUAAUUUUCCUGCACAUUUUCUCAGCAACCAAACAGAUACAAGAUCCUUCUCAGAAAACACAUUUUAAAACACAAACAAAAAAACCAAAACAAAACAAAGAUCAGCCUCAGCGCGGAAGUGAAUAGCGCGUAAAAGGAAGGCUCAGAUUCGCCUUUUAUCAGACAAGAAAAAGAUGACCGUCAUGGUUGCAACCACAGUUGCUUGUGAAACAAGGCACAAAAGGUCCCAUCACACAAACCAUCCGGGUUGCCCCGCCAAGAAACGGACAUUCCCAGUGCCUGACUUACUCUGAAAACGUCAUCACAGCCUUUUAUGUUGCCCAUAUGAACAGAGAGAGAGAGAGAGCUGUUGAUUUUCCAGAGAAUCAAGACAGCCUCUGAUAUAUAUGUAUAUAUAUAUAUAUAUAUAUAUAUAUAUAUAUGUACACACAUGUGCAUGAAAAGAAAGGAAAGAAAAGAAAGAGCCAAGGAAAAGGGCUGUUGACGGGCGUAGUAGAAGGAAUCAUCGGCUCCGACGACCAUGAGAUUCAGAGAGGGGCAACCACCCUUAGAAACUCCCCAUCCCUCCGACACAGUCCCUGGAGCCUCACUCACACACGUGUAUGAAAAGAAAGAGCGAAGGAAAAGGGCUGUUGAUGGGCGUAGUAGAAGGAAUCAUCGGCUCCGACGACCAUGAGAUUCAGAGAGGGGCAACCACCCUUAGAAACUCCCCAUCCCUCCGACACAGUCCCUGGAGCCUCAGUCUUAAACCAAUGGGGUUUAGCCCUAAGAUGUUAUUUGGUAAUCUGAUCAUGAUUUGCAGGCAAAGGUUGUGUUUUUCAGCCUGGCUCAAAAAUUGUGGAUUUAAGGUUCGUGAAAUUUAAAUCCAAUGGCACAAAAGCAAAGAGACCCCUAGAACAGAUCCAGAAAACACAGGGAGCCAAAAAAAAAAAAAAAACGCAAUUUUUUUGGUUUUCCUUGGGGGUUUUGCAUGAAUUUUCUCGGAAAUCAAACAAGGAUGAAUUUUCCCGGAAAUCGAAUGGGGGAUGGAUUUUCUUGGAAAUCAAACGGGGGUUGCAAAAACAAAAAAUAAUAACAUGAUUAGAUUAGUACCUGCGAGGAUUGAGAGUGGCAGAGGAAAAUAGGGCUUUUUAAGGGAUUCUCUCGUCCGGAGGGCAAGUUCAGAAAAGGGCUUCUUGAUGCCCCAGUGAGAGAAGUGGAUGGCCCUUUCCAUUUUUAUAUUUAGUAGAGAGAGAAAACAAGGAAACAAAUCAUGAGAACAAUUAUUCUCUCUAUAUAAAUAAUUAUUAAUUAUCCAUCUUUAUUUUGAUUAAAUCACUACCAAAAUUUGAUUUUUAUAAAUUAAAAUUAAUUUGAUAAGAUAAAUUAUUAAUAAUUUUAAUUAUUUAAAUAAAUUAAUGUUAAUAAAAAAAAGUUAUUACCACAUAUUUUUAAUAAAAUCUUAAAAAUUAAAUAUCAAAUAAAAUAUUUUAUAUAAAUUAAUUUAAUUUUUCAUUUAAAAUGUAAUAAUACAUGUUUUAAUAAAAAUAUUUAAUUUUUUAAAAUAAAUAUUAUCUUCAAUAAGAUGGACUCCUUUCAUCUAAUAAUAUGAUACUAAAGACUAUUAUAAUAUCAUAUAUAUUAUAUUUAUAUAUAAAUUAUUUUUAUUCUAUAAAAUCAAAUAUUUCUUAACUCAAUUCUAACUUUAUACACUUUCAAAAUUCAUAUUUAUUAUUCUUAAAAUUCAAAUACCGAAUCUACUAAUAUUUUCUAUUUAAUCAUAUUUAUGUCAAUUAUAUUUACAAAAUAACUUUAUAAUAUAUAUUAUUGUUAUUUUCCUUUUUUUUUUUUAAGUUUUUCCAAACAUUCUUAUAAAUUUUAAAUAAUUUUUGCUCGACCGAUAUCCGUUUACCGAUCUUUACUCUGUAUCUAUCCAAAAUAAAUGAAAGAUAGUUUUUUACAACAAUUUUUUUAAUGAUUUUUAAAUCAAAAGUUAGUUUUAAAAUCUGAAAUAUUUUUAAUCCACUAUUAUGUUUUUAAAAUUAUAUAAUUAUUUUUUAAAACAAUAAAAACAAAUAAAAUAAUUAAGGUUAUGUUUAGUUUAUUAAAAAAAAUGUUUUAUCAUAUUUGAUUUAAUAGUGAAAAUAAAAAUAUAAUAAUAAUUAAAAUUACUUAAAAACCAAUGUAGCUUUAAAAUUUUUUUUUUGAUCUUUAGCUUAAAAAAGAAAAAUAAAUAAAACGAAUUUGACAAGAUAAUUAAUCUCUCUGAAAGGAAGAGACUCAAAAGUUUUGGAGGAAGAAAAAAAGGGAGUAAGAUUUGAGGGAUAAAAAUAAAGAAGGAACAAGUGGGUGGGUAUUGCAUUAUAUCCAUGAGUUGAUCAAUAACUAGCUCCAUUUCCUUUCCUUUAUUUUCUUGCCAGCCAAACAAAAUCUUAAGUCUGGAACCAUCAUCCCAGAAACCAUUUAUUAAAAGCCAUACGCCAAGGAUUCGUAUAACACCAUGGAAUCAACCAUCAUCACCCUCUCAAACCUACAUGCCAUAGCUACACAGACUCUACUCCCAAGUUCCCAAAUAACCAAGCUUCAUAUCUACUAGCUCCAAAAUGGUUAAACAAGAUGAAAGAAGGAAAGGAAGAGAUUACUUGAUGAGAGCCUGGUAAAGGCAGAUCUGCAAAAAUUACAAGCCUUGUCCACAUAGCUUUAUGUGGUCCCAUGGUAUCUAUUUAUAGCCCCAUGAAAGCAGAAUUACUUCUUCAUUACCAAAUGUCAGCAUAGGCAAUGCCCGACCUCCAUCUUCCCAUGGCUGCCAAGCCCUUUUAUCAAUAUGUGAAGAUGCAAACCAAAAUGGUUAGCCCAUCAUCCAAAGCUAGCUCCUCCUCCUUAUUUACACCUAACGGUUUCCCUGAUUCACAACAAGUUCAAUUUCCUUGCUCGACAUCUUUCAGAUAGAACAGAACAAUUACGAUUACAAUCACAAAAUGUAACACCACCCCACAUCUUCCUCUGUUUAUCUAAGCAUUACAAGACCUCAAAGUUGAUGUUCCAUCAUCAUAAUAGGCAUGGUGUAUUUCCAGUCUCAAACAAGUUAAGGUUCCAUCCUAACACCAUAAUGGUGGGUUGUUUUACUUCAGACAACGAAUCUGAGUCAGUUAACAGGCAAAAAGAAACAUUCAAUAGUUCAAGAAGAUCACUUAGAAUUUUCUGAAAACCUCAAAACCGUUUUCAUUUAUAAUUACAAACCAACCCAAAAAUUGAACAAUACGAGGCACUGGGCUGAACAAUCACCUCAGAACUCUGGUAAAAAAGAUGAAGGUUUCUAUAGAUAAAAUGGCCUUUGCAAAUAAAGCAAUGAGAAAAAUGGGAUAUAAAUUAAGGAAUGAUAGAAUGAAAAUGUUGAAAGGAAUUGCACAUGGCUUCAAAGAAUGAAUAGAUUUGGUACCCUUGCCGAGAAAUUACAUGGCUGCCUUGCCCCUCUGUUGAAGUACUACAUCAUGCACAACUUCCCCUGCUGAGUUAACAAAGUAGGUUUCCUGCCAUGGAAAAAGAACAUUUGUUGGUGCUUCAACAAGAACAAAUUUAGUAAAAAAAGACGAAUACUCACAAUCUCUAAGGAGCUGACUCUAUGAAGAAGGAACCCAUUAACCAUUCCCCUGAGGAAACAAAGAAAAAAAUUUCAUAUGUAUGAACCAAUGUAGAACACCAUUAGGAACUAUGAACAGAAAUACUCACUUACUAAAACCUGAUAUUUGAUUUACAGAAGCAAGAGGAAGUUUUUCAUCAAUUGAACCUGGGUUCCUGAUGUAGGCUAUACUAUCUUUACGAGCAUAGUCACUACAUCCCUCCCCACUCAGGUACACAUCCUGAUGAGCAAAUGCAUGGAUAAAGCGUUACUUUCUUCAUAGGCACCAGAAAGAUUCCAAAUUUGACAUAUCAGAAAGUUGUUCAUUCAAUUCAUUAGGAACUGUCUUAGAUUUUCAUAUAUAUUGAAAAUUUUGGACUUUGAUCAUCUCAAAAGCAAGUUCUCUAAAGAACCCAAAAUCAAAACCUUGGGCAUGGGAUGUCUUCACCCAUUGAUACUCAAUGGGGAGAGCCAUAAAUACUUACCACUCCAAACUUAUAAAAAAUAUGGUGUAGAUGCUCAUAAAGUUGUAUUUCUAUUCGUUCCCUGUUUCCUUCACAAACAGCCAAUGAGCAGAAACCAACAACUAUGCGCCUGGAUCAUAAGGAGGAAAAAAGGAGACAAUUAGUACUUGGGAAUUGGGAUGGAUAGUUUCUUUAUUAAGUUAAAUAUGGAGUUGAAAUGGUAGGGGUGCUUGGCAAUGGCAAUAGGACAGCAAACAAUGAAGGUCCAACAUAGUAACCAGAGAAAACAAAAGGAAAACGAAUGUUUUAACUCAACAAUUUGGGUUAAGGCAAAAUUUAAAUGAAAACCAGAAUUUUAUUGUUGAAAGAAAGAAAAUUUGUGAAAUAAAAUUAAGUUGAGAAGUAGAUUAUCACGCAUCAGAACCACUCUGAACUGACAUGAUUUUCAAAUUUUUCAAAAUUUUCCAGGCAUUACAACCUUGCUUAUUCCUAGGUUCAUGCAAUUAUAAACAGCCAAUAUGGUGCAAUGUAACCUUACCAGUCGCUAUCUGAUGUUUCUAGUGUCUUUGUCAGCCCAUGUAAUUGAUCAUUUCCAGCACCAUUUAACGGAUUCAUAAGCAUAAAAUCCUUCAAGUUUCAAAGAGGAGACCAAUUAAGAGGAAAGAAGAAUGAAAUGCGGCAUAAAGGAGCAGAAACCAAAAAACAGAAACAAAUGGGGGAUAAAAUGUGUGAUAAAUACAUCUAUGGGAUAUUGAUAGUGUAACUAAAUGAAAUAGAUAUCAAAUCAAUCAUAUACACAUAUAAAUACAACACAGAAAUAAGCAUGGCCAUGGUGAAAAAGGGCUGCAAUGUGGGUUGUAACCAGAGAAUGGAAUAUGGACAAGGAGCAUAAAAAAUGAUUUGGCAGGCCAAGAAAUGGCUAUUUUAAUAUGAUGAAAAAGAAAAAGAACAAAAAAAAUUCAUUAUGAACAUGACUUGAAGAGUACACCUACGCUCAAAUAAUGACCAAGUGAUCAACUUUAAAAUCACAUUGCUAACCUCAGCCCUACCCCUCAUGGAAAAAUGGAAAAAAUAAAUAAAAAGAAAAAAAAUUCUUAGAAGGCCUUGAGAAGGGUAAACCUGCUGGGACUCAAACCCGGAACCACCCCACAUCCCCACCCUCAACCCAAGCUACUCGAGCCACGCCUCAAGGGUGAUAAAGAUCUAACCUUCAGCAUUGAAUAAAAAAUAAGCUAAAUGUGCAAAAAAUAUCCAGUAUUUUCUCAUGCAUUUUAAUUGCUUACUAGACUAGAUAGAAUCUCCAGUCAUUGAUGAGAACAAAGAACUCAGUGUCUUUAUUAUUAUUAUUGAAUAAAAAAUAAUCUAAAUGUGCAAAAAUAUCCAGUAUUUUCUCAUGCAUUUUAAUUGCUUGCUAGACUAGAUAGAAUCUCCAGUCAUUGGUAAAAUUCAAUAAUUCCAAUUUCCACCAGUUGAUUUGUCAAGUCCCUAAUUAAAUAAUGAAAGAUAAAAUACUUUGAUGAGUUAUAUACUAAAAUAUUUGUGCUUCCCAAUCUAAUUCUAACAAGAACCCUACAAAAUGCACACCUUAAUCCAACUCAACCAACACUCAAUCUUGCGAUUGCCUCAUAGUCCACAAGGUACAUCGGAGAGACCUAACUUAUCUUGAUGUUACAAGAUUUCACAUGAACAUCUGAAUACAUCUCCUGGGGCAUGGUAAAGAUGAAUAUAAAAACAAAAUGAAAUCAAUACAAGAAGUUGAUAGCCCCUCUAUGAUCAUAACUGGGGUCAGCACAAUCAGUAACAUAAGAUUCAUGGCGUAGUAUCGCAUUCCAAACAAUAAAAUAUUGAAGUGUAUCAUAAACUCAACACAAGCAUAUGCAAUGUCAAUUAUCAUUAAGUCAACAAUGAUAUUAAACAUUGGUAUAAACAAUUGAAACAAUGACAACACAAAAGGAAAAAACCUUAUACAACUAUUAAUCUAUCCUCUUUGGAAGUCUUUUAUCAUCUUCCACAAAUUUCCCAUUUUCCUCCAUAUGCUGCACAAAAUCCGACCCCAUAUUUUUUGUAUCUUUGUCAUCAUUAAAGGAAAUAAAUGCAUGCAACUUUUAAAGAUUUGAGGCCAUGUGAAAAACUUGUCAUUUGAUGUCAAGUUUUUUUAUAUGAAAAAGUUUUCCAAAAUGAGAAUGGCAGAACUAUCAAUCUAUCUUCAUCUAGGUUUGGAGCUUCUUGAGUCUUUUAUCAAUUAUCAUCCACCAUAAAAUUCCAGUUUUCUUCUGUAAAUUGCUCAACCUCCAACAUAAUUUUUAAUUUUUUUUCUAAUUAAGAUUAAAUACAUGCAUAUUUUGAAGAUUAAGCCAUGUGGAGAAUUGUCAAUCAAUCGUAAGUUUUUCCUAUAUCAAAAGCAUUUUUUAAAAUUUUCGGCCUUGUUGGAAAAAAGACCUAAUGAGAUGGGUUUGUAUCACAAAACACUAAGGAUUGACUCAAAAGUCCCAAUGAAAUUAUAGCUACUGUAAAAACCAUGUAACCGCUUUCAAGCUUAAACCCAUAUUACAAGAGGAUGGUGGAAGAGGCCUCUCUUCUGACUGACAUAAUAACCAUGAGAAGUAUUAGCCAACAAAUCUUAAAUUGAGCAAAUUCAACAAACCAGUUGAUACCUUAAAUGCCCCAGUAUCCAAACUAAUAAUGUCUAAGGUCUUCCCAAAAGGUAUUUUGAUCUGCUUUAGGAAGUAACCUGUUCCUUGUCCUCUUGAAACUCUGGUACUGUACCUACAAGAAUUACAAUUCAGGAUUACCACACAAAGAGACUAAACCAAAAAGACUGUUACAUUAAAAACUACAUUGGAGUCCAAGUUUUGUAACAAUGAAAUUUCAAAAGAUGAGCUACAAAAAUGACACAACUGAUUGCAAAGUGGAUGGCAUACCAGGGAACUUUCAGUGUUGAAAAACGCCAAGUACCCUGUAAAAGAAGAUGUCAUCUUCUAAGAUUGUUCCUAACAGAUGAAACCAAUGAAACCUAAUUAAACUCAGCAGUAAUUUAUUUUCUAAUCACACACCUAUAAAGCAAAACAAAAUAAAACUACAGAAUUAAAUAUGAACCACUAUUCCAUUACUCCAACCAAAGCAUGGUUUCUAUUAUUUCAGUUAAAUUCACAAAAAGUUAGGAGAGAAUCAUUUCUACAACUUACCCAGAGUGAAGCAAUGCAUAACUUUGAUUAAAUUUGGCUAAACUAUGACAACUAAAGCUUCCAUAUAAAUGGAGUGUAAGCCUGAAGGUGCCACAAGAAAGUUCAUAUAACAAAUAGUAAAAGGGCUUCCCACAUUGAAUUUACUAGCCAUGGUCUUACAUUCUGUGUGAGUGGAUCGUCUUCCCCAAGUUCACUAAUGUUUAUCACAAACCUUGCCUCAUAAGUCUUUGCCGCCUUCUCCAUCUUCAUGGGAAAAAACAAUUCAAAUUAGAACAGGGAAAAUAGAAUAUAAACUCAAAAUGCUAUUAAUGUUAGUAGACGAUAAUCAUUUAAUGCAACUAAGUUCAAUAACAGAGGGGGGAAAUAACAAAGCCUAAAAACAGAGAAGGUGGAAGGCAGAAGUAACUUGGAUGAAUUAGAACCAAGAAGACAAGACAAGAUCAAAACCAACAGAUGAGAAGGCUGACACAAACAAUUGAGAGAGAUCAAAAACUGAACCAUAUAAUAAAAAACUCACUCACAUGAUUAUUCUUUGGCCAAAAGAUAAAGGUUAUGUUUGGUUCCAAAAAGUACCAAGGAAAGAAAAAAAUACUAAGAAAUAUUAUUAUGUUGCAUAUACAAUUAAAAACGGAAAAAGAAAGAUCUUCUAGGGUUCAACAACUGUCAUAUUAAAAAAAUAAUAAAAAUAAAAUUUCGAUCCCAGUAAAACCUAACACAAAAUUCUUUCCUCAAAGCAAAAUCAUUCACAUAGAAAGUAAUUGAGAAAGAAAUAAUAAACUGUUUGGUUGCUGAGAAAAUGGAGACAUAGAAAAGGAAAUCAAAAUUUUGAAACUCUAUUAUUUCCAUUAUUUGAAGGCCUGGAAGAAAGAGGGAAAAAAACUUCCACUCUUACCUUAAUUUAGGUUGUUUUGUCAAUUUCGAGAGGGGAAAAAACAGGAAAUUAAUUUCAAGCGAUUUCACUUUCAGCAUUCUCAGCAACCAAACGGAGCGUCUGAUAAAACUAUCAUAUCCACCAACAGAGCCAAAACCAAAUAUACCCACCAUCAACAUCUUAAAACAAAAUCCAUAUAGAACGAGAAAAACCCAUGCUUUUCUUCAAUGAACAAAAGGAAUCAAUAGAGAGGAUGAGAAAUAGACCUGUUUGAGAAGAUGGGUUUGUUGAUUAAGAGGUCUAAAUCCUCCUCUAACACUGAUAAAGUAAAGGUCAAGAGGCCUGCUACUGCCACUGCUGCUGUGGGACAUGGGCUUCUCCCAAGGCCGACCCAAGUUGAAUGCAAGCAAGACAGCCAAGCAGAGAGACAACUGUGUUAUAACAGUGCGAACCCAUGAAGGUUUCCCCAUUGUUAACACAGGUCUCACAGCCUCAGCUAUUCAACUGGUAAUUGAUUUCACUCAUAGAUCUGAAGAUAUAUGAGGAACGUAACCGCCGUCACCCGUAUCUCUAAUCUCCUCAAUGUUAUCUGUAGGGACCCCUCCCACACGUGGCACACAUUUUCAUCCGAGUUAAUCUCAUCCGGAUUUCCCCAAGAGUACACGUGGUGCGCUUCUCCUAUCCGGACUCCCUCAAGAAGAGGCACACGACACUCACAAACAUAACAUCCAGAUGACUGCCACAGCGCAUCCGGACGACCGACAUACACUAUCCGGGUAUAUAUAUCCGGAUCAUUGAUUGAAGUAAGCAAGUCUUACACGUUAUUACAACAACCUGUCAUGGCCCACGUUCCGCCACCUGUAGGGUGAAAGGACAAGAAUGAAGUGACGGCAAGUCACUUCCUGCGAUCACUUCCCACGAUUUCUGACAGUCGCAGCAACUACCACGAUCUCUAUCAGCCGCCUAUAGGGUGAUGAUGGCCCUGCCACCACCUAGUGUCAUCAUGACAACACAAAAUAUCUCCCUACCAUUAAAGAGAGAAACAAAGCUUCUGAUAUUAUAUAUAUGAACCUUCACACAAGGAGUAAGGUAAGCUUGCUAUACCUAGUAAAAUGCCAACUGAUUUAUCUCUCUCUAACCAUGGCUGACAAAACCAUCGGAGGGUGCGUCCGGACACCCUGUCCGGACGCCUUUUGCAGGUAGUACGAUUGAAUCAAGAAUCUAUAUUAGUUGAGAUCGUGCAUCCACCCAUUUGGCAACUAAGUGGAUCACCAGGGAUGCGACGCUUCAACAUUAUCAAUUGCUUGAUUAAGAUAUUCGCUAAUGAAGCUCCACUUGGCAGGCAGGACCCAUUAUUGAAGGGAAAUGCCUUUAUAGUUCGUUUAUAUUAUGGACUCUCGGACUAAAAUCGCUUUGUCAUAUUUGAAACUUUCCUCACAAACAAACGCACCAUCAGCCAUUAAACAUCAUAUUUCAGCAUUCUUUUUUUGCACAUUGUCACAUUCCUAUCUCCUAAUUUUCAAAAAUUAUUUUAAAUUUAAAAAUUGAGUUACCACUUCAAAAUAUAAACUUUUAAAAUAAAAUUAUGUACAUUUAAAUCCAUACUAAAUAUGUGUAUUUGCGUUUAUUGCCUUGUAAUAAUAUUUUAUUCUUUAUUAUUAUUAUAAUUUAGAUGAGUUGGUUCGAUCUAAUAUAAUAUUUGAACAAAUUUGGAUAUUUAUUUUUAAUAUUCCGAUUAGACUUUGGUUCAUUUUUUAAACCUCAUCUUAAUUUGGAUUUGACUUGGGAGAUACCUCUAAUGAAAAUUAAUAUGGUUCUCUUCAUACAUUCUAUUCUACUUUUCUUUUAAUAUCUUUGUUUAUUCUCUCGUAUUUUCUUAUUCUUAUUCUUUUAUUUCACAACAUGUUAUCAACAGAGUUAUGAAUAUAUAGAAAAAGAGAAGAAUACUUAAGGUAGAAAAGAAAAAGAGAAUAAUUCAUCUACAAAAUUUCUUAUAGAUAUGUAGUCUUAUUCUCUUCGAAUGAAAUAUGAAUAGUAUGCAUUGUAUUAUUAUAAUUUUUAUUUACUUUAUCUCAUAACCAGAAGUUAUGUGAAUCAUAUUUCAUAUAAUUACAUAUUUUAAUUAUUUAAUAACUAGAAAUUAUAUAGAAAGUUUUUUAUAACCAGAAGUUAUGAAAAAAUAUAUGUCCAAUCUUCAUAACUAGAUGUUAUGGAGUAAAUUACAAAAACACAAAUACGUAGUCGGAAGCUAUGCAUAAGAUCCCUAAUUACUUUUUAAUUGUAUUAUAUAUCUAAAAGUUAUAUAAAAUAACAUUAUAUGGCCAGAAGCUAUAUAAUGAAUAGUUCAUAACAUGAAGCUAUGUACAAAUCCAAAAUUACAAAUAUACGACCAGAAGCUAUGUAUAUAACUCAUAAUUAUUUGUUUUUAAUUAUAUAGUUGUGGACCCGCAAAUUUCACGUGCGCCCCCACUCGAUCGACGAGACUCGCUUUUUGUUGGUGAAAAAUUAAUUUUGGAAAAUUCAGAGUCACCACUUAUUUUAUUUUUAUUUUAAAGGGAAAAUAAAAUAAGAAAUAAAACUCUAAAAAAAAUGACUCCAUAAUUUUUGGAAAAGCGUGUCUUUGAAAAAAAACCCGAGUCUAAGUCCGGGGAUUAGGUUACUUAUUGGGUAGGUACCUCUAGGAGGUAGCAUCUUUCUAAGCCCUAAAGAAGUCUCUACUGACUAAAUUGGGGGUAAUAUAGCAAUUAAUUGAUUAAUUGGGGAUACCAAGAUAGGUUAAAGUGAUUUCAAAAAAUAACAUGCCAAAUAGGAUCAAAUUACCAUAAAAGAGAGUUAGGGUGCAUACUUGGACGACUUCUCAAGAGCUAUCAUAAAACAUGAAAGUUAGUAUUGAGAUACAUCACACAACACGCAUUUUAUCAAAGAUAAUCAAACAAUGAUCAAAUAUAUAUCAAGGCAAUCAAACAGGAUAGCAAGCAUGGACAUAGUACGCAACGACAAUCAUAUUCAUAGGGUUUAGAAAGUGGGUAUUAGGGAACGUACCUGGAUAGCAUUUAUAACUCCUAAUGCACUUCCUCAAGACAUGGGGGUUAGAUAAUAAAUAAUAAAUAGUAAAUCCUAGCAUGCUUAUCUAAUUAAUUAGCAAAAAUUAUCAGAAUACGGAAUAAUUAAUUAUCAUACAUAUCUUGUAUACAAUUCCUAAAAAGAAAAAUGUAAAUAUAAUUACAAUAAAUAGCAGGGUGGUAGUAAAAAUAAAUUUUGAAAAAGAUUUUCUUAUGUAGGGGUUUCACCAAUUCCCCAAAUUAAUAUACACAAAUUUAGCCUAAAAUUAUCCCAUUUAUUUGGGACCACAAGCUUUCAUUCGCGUUUUGUUCAAAACCAAAAUUUUUGUUGAAAAUUGAGAAAGAUGUGAACCGAUUAAGAUACGGUUGCAUAUUAUUUUUUAAAAAAAAGAAAAGAAAAGAGAUUUUGAUUCUAGAGGCUUUAAAUGAAUUUUAUAAAAAUAAAAUAAAAUCUUAAAAGGUUUUUUUGAGAAAAAGAGUUUUGCUUUAAAAUAAAAGAAAUUAACUUUUAAAAUAGCAAAAAUAGAAAACAAAAUAUCAAUCAAAACAAAAGGAAACAAAGAUCACAAAAUAAAGAUUUUAGAAAUUAUUGUCAAUUAAAGUGGUGAGAGUAAAGGCCAACCUUCAUGGGUUUCCAAUGGCCCUAAAAAAAAAAAAAAAAAAUUUGACCAACAAUUACUAAGGCAACAAAUUUAUGACUUCCUAAUCAAACAAACUAACAAAAUUAUCAUACAAAAACUAACAUUUAGAUUUCAAGAAACAUAUGAAUAACUAGAAUUAAAAAUGUAAACUUUACCUCACAGGAUCAAUUAAACUAAAGAAUUAAGAUUGAUAACACGUUCAAAUUAAAAAUAAACUAGAAUUUAAACUAAUCGGAAUUAAAACUAUAAACUUUACCUUACAAGACCAAUUAAACUGAUAGAUUUAAGAUCAAUAACUCAUUCAAAUUAAAAAUAAACUAAAAUUAAACUAAUUGGAAUUAAAAAUAUAAAUUUUACCUCACAAGAUCAAUUAAACUAAAGACUUAAGAUCAAUAACAUAUUCAAAUUAAAAAUAAACUAGAAUUAAACUAAUUGGAAUUAAAAAUAUAAAUUUUAUUUAAACUUUCAUGUAGAUUAAAAUAAACUAGCAUAGAACUAAUGAAUUGCAAUCAUAAAAGAGAGACAUUUAAUCUAAGAAAAAUAAAAGAUUGUUCGAAAUCGAGAUUUAAAAGAAUUUAUCACAAACAAUUAAUUAAACCAAUCAACAAAAACCCAAACUAAAAAAAAAAGAAAUAAGAAAUAAUGUAUCAAAAACCGAAAACUAACCUGUAUUGUAUCGGAAAAAUACUCUCUUGAUGUGUCAAAAUGACAGCCCAAUUAGUCUUUCAAGUCCUCUGCCAUUCCCCAAAAAAAAAACUCUUGCGCGUGCCCUCUCAAAAAAAGAUUGCCUCUUGUAUGUGGAUCUCUGCUCCAAAAGAAAAGUCCUCUCCCUGCGCCAAAGAAAUAAAAUUCCCGUGUCUGUCUUCUCUCUUACUUCUUCAUCAAUUUUCAGCCGUUGAAGACCCUCGUCAAAUGCACAUAUAUUUAAUAGAAAAUUCAGUCACUUCACUAACAACAAGGAGUCAUAAUUUCCUCCACUAUUCUGCCAUAAUUUUCAGCUCACUUAUCAAUGCUCCUUCACCAAAUUUCCAACGCAUUUCAUUGUGAAUUUUCAGCCAUGAAAAAAAAGCUUCCAUUCACAGCCACAAUUCCCGUGUGUCCACCACAAAAUUCAGUUUUCAAGAAUUCACCUUUUGCAUGAAACUACCAUCAAAGGAAUUCUCCAUAUGCAGCCAUAUAUUCCGUGAUUCAUCCAUGGAGAUUUAUAAAUUCAAGGCCAUUAUCUCCAUUAAACUAUUUUAAAAUUCAUCCAUGGAGAUUUAUAAAUUCAAGGCCAUUAUCUCCAUUAAGCUAUUAUAAAAUUCAUCCAUGGAGAUUUAUAAAUUCAAGGCCAUUAUCUCCAUUAAGCUGUUAUAAAAGUCAUCCAUGAAGAUUUUAUAUGCAAGGCCAUUGAAACCUGAUUGGAAUCAAGUAAUUAAUAUUCACAAAGUGGCUGCCCAUUCUCCAUCAGAAUCAAAGUGUUAACACGGCUGAAAGUGAAUGAAAGCCUUUCCCUUUAACCAAGGCAUCAACACGGCUGAAUGUGUAUAGAAUCUUCUUCAUUAAAUCAAGGCGUCAACACGCGUAAAGGGGAUGAAAUUCCUGCCCGCUUCGAUGGAGAUCUCCCCUCCUUCCCAGAAUAGUGCAGCUGAGUUCCAACCCCCCACCUCAAAAAUCUGAUUCUAAAUGUCUCCGACCUGUUGUGUGUGUAGCUCUCCCGAUCUGACCUGUGCGCGUGUUCUUGGAAAAUCAGAAUUGUGCGUGGACUCCUUCAUGCGGCUGUGGAGACUUCCUGAAGUGGUGUGUGGCUGUUAGUGCGUGGUCCCCAUGCUUGAGAUUCAACUUAAGCACAUGCAUGCAUGGAUUCCUUCAAUGAGAUAUCCUUACUCAUUUUUUGCAUGAGUUUGUUGACGUAAGUUACUAGGGAGAGGGUAAAUCCUUUCUUUCUUUCGCUAUUAGUUGAUCUAAAGGCUUUUAUGGUUAUUGAGUGCACUAGACUAGAAACAUACUUGCCCCAUUAGCAUGCAUAUAACGGAGCAACCAGCCCCCUUCAACAUCUCUCAUAACGUGUUCUACACUGUUGAAAGCUAAAUCCACAUGAGGUGUGUGAUGCAUAGCUAAAAAAACGCCAGUGACUAAAGAUUUUCGGAGAAGUGAUGCAAAACCUGUCUAGUCCUCUCUCACUGCAAGUCAUAGGGCCAGAAAGUCAAGCAUGGCCCAGCCCGUACCUCUCUUUCCUAGCUUCAUCUUGGCUACGCUCGAUCAUGAAACUAUCUCACCUCCGACUUUUUUUCACUAUUUACUCUUCUCUCAUUCAUGCACCAUACAUCUUAUCUGUAAUGAUAAAUUCAGAAUUCAAUCUGCUGUUUCAGUCUUAACCUCAAUGAUUGCUGGUUGAUCCUGAACUUCAUGCUUAUUUGCCCUUUGUGCAACUCUUAUUUUUUUCUUGGAUUGGUGCACAUAUUCUGCUGUUAUAAUAUGGAUCUUGGGAGUAGGCUUACUUGAUGAGGCAACAUUAAAACUUGACCUUUUUCCCGGCUCGGUGGAGAUAUUUCUGAGCCUAUUGUAAGUGGACGGUACAGAGAACAAGAAUGAAAGACUUCAAUAUUGGCUUCCCACAGGUUAUGGGUCCCGUCUGCACUGUCUUGAUGACAUAAUCACAGGGCUUGUAAAUCCGUUGUUUCGGAUCACACAGAAUAUGCAGAUAACAGAACCUUGUUAGCGCCCUCGCCUAAUCCUCCUUGAACGUCUGUAUAAUCAAAAGCCCCUCAUCUUCUUCCCAAGACGUCAAUUUCUUUUUGUAUGGAAGUUUCCAUAUAUUCUUCUAUGGGCAGCAACUUCUUUUCUUCCUUGUAGUCGUGUCUUCCUUAUAUGCAUGGUGGAGGUAACUUUAUAAAAUAAUGCAGCUGUCACUUUCCUUUCUCUAAAAUUUUGGUGAUCUUCCUUCCAAAUAGAUGGCAGCCCGUUUUUUAGAAAAAUAAUAAUAAUAAUCUUAUUUCCAUCCUUCAUUCAGCCGUGAUCUGCUUUCCUUUCUUCAACACUAUAAAUCUCAUUUCCAUGUUGCAUAGAAUAUCCCCACAUAUAUGCAGCCGUGUACAUUACAUCAAGAAUCUUCUCCAAUGUGUGCAUUCGAAUCUCAUGCCAAAAUAAAAAAAGAAUUAAAAUUAGUAAAGGUCAUGAAAUUGAAAAUUAAAACUAAUUUAAAAUUAUGCAAUUAAAAAAACAUUAUGUCUAUCAUAGGUACACAAAAAUAAUUAAGACAUCAGUUUACACAAUUAAUCAUCAAUCUCAUGCAAUAUUCUAUCAAAUAAAUAAAUAAAAACAAAUAACUAACCAAAUAAUAAUAAAUAAACAAGUAAAUAAAUAAAUAAAAUAAAAUAAAAUAGAUAAAUAAAUAAAUAAGAAAUCGAGUACAUGCAAACAUUAAAAGUGCAAAUCAUGCAAAUUAUGUAAGUCAUGUAGGAAUUACUGAAAAGGUGACAUAGGUGGGCCAGGAUGCCUAAGUGGACCUAAAGUGAGUGCGUGUAGGCUAGAAGGUGCCUAGAUGGGUCUAAGCGGGUCAAGGUGAAUCUAAGUGGGCCUAGGGUUGUGCUUAAUGGGCCAAGUGUAUUUAAAAACUAUCCUAAAAAUGAAUGAAAAGCCUAAUUCUAAAUUAAGGCUGCCAAGGGUCACAAUAAGGAGUCAGAUAAUCCCUCAACCAAAGUCUCCGAGAUGGCUCAAAAAAAGUAAGUAGUAUGAGUAGCUAUGGGCCACCAAGGAACUACUGUAAAGUAUCAAAUAAGUAUCUAAUAGGGCAUGUGCUAGGAGGACAAAAUUGAGGGUCUACAAUAGUAUAACUGAAAGUUAUACAAAAUAAUAUUUUAUACCCAGAAGCUAUAAAAUGAAUAGUUCAUAGCUUGAAAUUAUGCACAAAUCUGCACAAUGAAUAGUUUAUAGCCUAAAGUUAUGCACAAAUUUAUAUAAAAAAUAGUUCAUUGCCUAAAACUAUGUACAAAUUUAAAUAUUUUCUUGUUCUAACAAAAUAAUCAUAACUUGAAGCUAUGAAAGAUAUUAACUUUUAAUUUCUUUAUUUUCUUUUAAUUAUAUUGUUGUGGACCCCGCAUUUCGGCUCAAUGUGUUUCCCACUCGAUGGCGAGCUCGAUUUUUAUUAUUUUUGAAAAAUUGAUUUUUAUUGAUUAUUUGAAAAUGACUUGGAGUCGCCACUUAUUUUUGUUUUAUUUUUAAAGGGUAAACAAAAUAAGAAAGAAAAACCCUAAGUGUGACUCCUCAUUUUGGAAAAGGUGAUCUACGAAAAUCGGAUCAGGUUCGGGGGUCAGGUUACUUAUCGGGAAGGUACGGUAAAGACCGUAGCACCCCUCUAAGUCCCUAAGUCGGGUCUCUACUAAUGAGAUGAAGCUGACAUGGCAAUCAAUGAGAAAAUCAAUAAAUACUCGAACCAAUCAUGCACAUAUGAGAGUCAGAAAAUGCAUAUAAACUAACCAGAGUGGGAAUGAAUGUGUACCUGAGCAGCGAGCCACUAUGCGCUAUCAAGAGAGAGGGUUAGUGCAAAAUAAAGAGCAUAAACAUAGCUCACAUGUCACUAAAUCGAGUACAAAAUCAUCAAAGGCACGCAUGACACUUCACUCAAAAUUCAUUUUUAUUUUAAAGAAAAUUUAUUUGAUGUUGGGCCCUCACCAAAGCCCAUUUAUUUUGCACGAAUCAAUUCCAUAAAUCCCAUCACCUGAGAAUUACAAAAUUUGAUUUUUGGCUUAUUUUAAAACAUUUUAAAAUCAGAGAAGUUAUGAAAGUUGCAUGCCGAAGAGAGAUGGCGGCAAAUUUUAUUAAAAACAGAAUUUUGGAACCUAAAGAAAACCUAAGGAUGAAAGAUGGUAAAUAUUGAAAUUAUUUGAAAAUCGAUGUUUAAAAAAGUUAUUUGCAAGAAAGGAGUCAGAAAAUUAUUUUCUAAGCCAAAAGAUUGAUGGAAUGGGAGGUGACACGUGACCCAAAGGUGGCCAUGCAGAGAAAAUCCCAUUAUUAACCCACUUUGAAGGAGUGUUCUUUCUCUUAUUUCCUUUCUCAGUACAACGAGCCUGAUUUGAGGAAAAAACUGAGUCAACUUCCAGAUUUAGGGCCUCUCAGCAAUCCUUGAUUUGAUCUAUUCUGGGUUCGACAAAAGAUCUUCCCUCUGCAUCUCAAUCUCUCUUUCCUGGUUCACAAUCUCCUUGGGAACAUCUUCUAUAACAAGAGAUUGCACUUGAGGACAGGCAACAACUUGCAUGGCCAGGUCAUCAAUUAGCUUCACUUCUUAUCUCUCAAUUCGCAUCUUCAACAGUUUUCAAGCAUAGAGUCUCCUUUCCAGCCUCACCUUGGCCUCCUGAGUUCCAUUGCUUCUUGCAUCACUCGCCUCGCUUUACAGCAUGUGAAGUCCUGUACUUCCACUGGAGCCCAUGCUAAACUGGCUAUGGAUGGCUUGAUGGAGUUGCUGCCGAAGAUGAAAUGAGUAAAGGGCCCCUAAGUUAAACCCAUCAUGUCGUCCCAUAGGAAAAUGCUGAAAUUGCAUCAUAGAUACAACACUAUCACAAAGUUAUUCUUUCCGGUGAGGGUCCAUAGGAAAAUCAGUAAUUCCACCCUUAAAUCCUGGUAAUACAGGAAAAUCUUCAUUCUGGAUACUGAAUUCUCAGUUUUGAUGGACAACUCCAAUGCUUUGUUUCCACAGAGAACCCAGCUAUCCUUGAAAACUACCAGCAGAAUUGGGGUGAGCGAUCAGUUGGGGAAGACAGCAACAACACGCACUGAAUUUGUGACGAAACAUCUGAAAAGCGGGAUACUAGCUGAUGAAGAGUGUAGCUGAACAAGUGAUGAGAAAAUUACUGACAGCACGGUGUGGGUCGCCAUGGAUGGCACUCUAUAGACGGGACUGUGGUCUGGGAAUGAGGCUCUCCGAUGUGAAUAAUCGGUAUCUUAAAGGCAGUCUCAUCAGUUAUAACUUGGGGAUGCAAACCGCACACCCAUAUCAAUGAAACCAAUGAUAACAUACUCUUGAUCCUUGAUGGAAUAUCAAUCUAACGACAUAGGAAUCCCAGGUCAAUCUGUGAAACAAAGGGACCUCAAGGUGAAUGGUCAGCAGUGCAUUUUCGUCGUCCUCACGGAAAUUGAUGUCACAAACGGGCCUUCAUGAUUGGAUUUUCCUUUUCACUGUUCCAUUGAGGAUGGUAUUUCCCAUGCAUUUUUCCAUUUUGCAUGAAGAUGAGAAACUUCAGAACAAAUCUCAGCAGCAUAUGUACGUGCCAAAUCCUCUCUGAAAAGACACGGUUGCGAAACAGAAAGAGUGACCCCCAUUUACAAAAUCUGACGAAAGGCACAGUCGAUGUUUGGUCUGAAAUGAGUAUCGGAGCUGGAUAAUGAAAGGGUGAUGAGUUGGAGUGGUUUUGGGUGCUAAUGUAGAGUGAGAACUGUGAUGACGGGUAUCAGUGGGUGAUGGCAUCCAUGAGUGAGAAAUGGAUAUGCAUGAAGGGGUGUGGUGUAGAAAUGGAAAAGGUGGCGGAGGAUUCAUGAAGGUGUAGGGCUAUGGGCAUGGUGGUGUGGGAUUCCAUGAUGUGGAGAUAAGAGUGUGGGCAUGGUGAGGAUCUUACAAGUUGAUGGAAAAUGGUGAGAGAGGAAUGGAUGAUGAAUUGCAUGAAAAGUGGUUUGCAUAUGGUACAACAGUGGGAGAAAUGUGUAGGUGGGUAUGCGGUACAAAAAAAGGAAUGGGUAUAGCAAGCAUGAGGUGUGAUAGCUGGUGCAUGAUGACAAGAGUGAUGGUGAGCUUGAGGUGGGUUUGAUGCCGUGGAUGCAUGCAUGGGAGUGAUGGUAUGAGAUGUUGGAAGUGGGCAUGGGAAUGGUGGUCAAUGAGAAGGGUGAUCACACAAAUGAUGGAUACGAGUAUGGGGUAACAUGAUGAGCAAGCGGGCAUAGAGAAUAAAGAUGAAGGGCCCAAACCAUACUUCACCAGCUAUCUUAAGAUAAUCCAAAUCACCAGCACUAAGGGGUUGCCUUGAAGAGAGGAGUAAACUGUGAAUCUGAACUUGAUAUUUUGCCAUAAUCAACAGAGGGUCGUGCCAACAUGAGAGACCCAAAGACAGAACCAAUACCACUUCCAACAACACUGAAGACCUGAAUAACUUGAAGAUCGGUACAGUUAUUAGCCAGGUUUCUGAUGCAAUUUGAACAGAGGUUGAUAUUCUCUUUCCCAAUGAUAUAAUGGCCACAGGCAAAGUUAUUGAUAGCGUCCUCCUUGACACUGAUGAAUUGCUCUGAACGAAAAGGGUUGCCUGUGUGCUCCAAGCUCCACUUAAUUAGUUACAGUAGGCUCAAAGUAUGCUGGAUUGGCACGAAAGACAUGCUCCCUAGCAUCGGUUUCAUCUCAAUCUCUUUUGGAUGACCAUAAUAGGUACCAAAGAAGCCAUGGUUGCUCAACCUGGUUCGAAUCUUCCCAAAGACUCUAGUACCGAUUUCCCUUAGAAACGCCCAAUCUCAAACGGCCGAUCCAAACAAAACAACCAACACUCCAAAAGAAUACCAAAAACAGAGGAGAAAAUAUUGAAAGAAUGACACAAAAUAAAGCGAGGAAAGCAUAUUUUCAGAAGUUUCAUUUCAUGAAUCAUCCAUGAACCCUCUGAUUAGGUGAGAAAGACCCAUCUCCCAACACGACUACAAGCACUCAGCAUAACAGAGACUAUCAUACUCAAACCAGCAGUGGAUAAAAAUGAAUGCAAGAUUUAAUCUCAACAAACAACAAAGCCGCCUUCAUUAUCUACCCCAAAACAAACCAAAUGAGUAUCCAAAUAUCAAAAAAAAAAAUAUGUAGAAGAAUGACAAACGUACCUGAAAAUCUCUUUCUCAACCAAGUAUAUGGGGCUUCAAAUCCACUGCUCUGUUUCUAGCUUGCUCUUUAAGUCAAAACCUUCCUCUGUAACUUGUUUGCCUUCCCAGAGUUUGAACCUCUUUGCUUCCUCAAAACUCAAGAAGACCUCUCUUCUCAAAACAAUAUCCUCCUAAACGGUCAGAAAAAUUACCUUUUCUCUCCUCUCAGACUAACACUCUCUCCUCCCCCUCCCCCAAUGGAACCUCUCCUAUUCUCUCUCCUCUAUUUUUCCUCCAGUAGCAAAAACUUGAAUCUCAAGCAAGAAAAUCGUCUCUGAAUGUGAAUCUCUCCCCUCUCCAGCCAAACUUCGGGAAGGAAACCACACUCCUCACAGCAGAAAAAUGGCUAUCACCCUCACUCUCAGUAAGAAAACUCUCCCAAGAAAAAAGCUCUCUCCCCCUAGAAAAUCUCCUUUCGCAGCCCAGGCACUUCACCUUCUGAAACUUAGAACUCUCUGAAAAACCCCGCCUGGAACCCCCACUCUCUUGACCUCCAAGCCAAAGGAAAAUCCCCCUCACGGCUCUCUCAUCACUGCAAAAAUCCCGCACCUCCCUCCAGAAUAUCUUUUUUUUUUUUUUUUUUCUCCUCUAUAACAACUUUUCUUUUUCUCCCGGAUUUGCCCCUCCAACCCACUCUGCCGCAACAGCCCCCUUCCUCUACACCACCCCUCUGCUAAUAACAGAAGACGCUCCUCAAGACAACGGCCUGCAGAUCCUCAUGCCACCUGUCAACCUUCCAUUGGCAUCCUAAAAGCAUCAUCUGAUUCUGCACCAGCCUCUCAAGAGAAGACACGUGGUGGAGCAAGGCUCUUCCACGUGGCAAAAUGAGCAGCUGCCUGAAUGGCCCCAAAUGGGGGGUCUACAAUUGUGUAACUGGAAGUUAUACAUAAAUAGUUCAUAGUCUGAAGUUAUGCACAAAUUUACAUUAAAAAAAAAAGUUGAUAACCUGAAUCUAUGUAUAAAUUUGCAUAUUUUCUUGUUUUGACAAAAUAAUUAUAACUCAAAGUUAUGAAAAAAUAUUGGCUUUUAAUUUUUAUUUCGUAUUCACUUAUUUUUCACAAUAGAAAUUAUGGAAAACAAUUUUUAUUAACAAUUCUUUCAUAGCCAGAAACUAUGCAAACAAUUUCUAAUUCUCUUGUAUAACCAGAAGUUAUACAAAACAAAAUUGUCAAUGAACAACUAUGUACCUAGAAGAUAUAUAAUUUUUUUUAAAAUUUUGUUAUAUAACCAGAAGUUAUAUCAUAAUAUAAUUGUCAAUUGUUUAAUGUUAUUGUAACAUUACUUAAAUUUUAAUUAUUCAUAACCUGAAGCUAUGAAGAAAAAGUUAGUAAAUUAAUAAUUGUUAGAGCUUGUAUAGCAAGAAGUUAUAUGAAUAUAUAUAUAUAUAUAUAUAUUAUAUAACCAAAAGUUAUAUAAAUAUUAUUAUUCAUAAACCGAAGUUAUGAAAAUAAGAAAAUUAAUAUUCUUUGUGCUAAUAAAAUGUUAUGUCAAAGUUGGUAAUAUGUACUUUUUUAUAGUUAGAAGCUAUAGAGAACAAAAUUGUUAACUAACAAUUUUGUACAACUUUAUGAAAUUUAUAUGACCAAAACUUAUAAUGAAAUAUAUUAUAGCUUGAAGCUAUGAUAACAAGCAUAUAGAUAAUAUUUACAUAUUAUCAAAAGAUUAAUAUUUUGUAUAUCAAGUUAUACAAAUAGACAAUUGUUUGAUAGUUUUUAUAAAUUUCUAUUAUUAGAAGUAUACUGUCAUUAGUAGAAAAAUUUAUAUAUAGAUGUGGAAUUUUGAAUUGCAUGAAAGUAUGAUAUUUUUGUAUUAUAGGUGAUAGUUUGGAAUAUUUUUUUUAUUCUAGUUAUUUAAUAUACAAUAAUAUUUUGAUUUAGAAAUUUGAGAUUUUUUGGGUACAUGUGAAAUAUAUGACUUGGUCAUAUGAUUAAUAAAUUGAUUUCGCAUGUCUUAUUUGUUUAUAACAUGUUUUUAUGAUUGAAAAUUUUUGAGUUGUAUAAAAUAAUAUAUAUUAUUGCAUGUUGUCACAUAUGAUAUUUUUAUUAAUGCAUUAAUUUCAUUAUUCAAGAAUAUCUUUUCAGAAACAAUACAUUCAACUAUUAUUUUUAAUAUAUUAUGUUAUAUCUUUACAUACAUAUUUAUAUAGAUUUGUAAUGUUUCGAUUUAAGUUUUGAAACAAUAAGAUGCUUUAAAUCAUGAUAUGUUCUUUUGAAAUUUUGAUUUAUGAAUUAAUUUCUGCACAUUGAUUUAUAUCGUAAUAAUAUUUUGAAUAAAAAUUAUUGAUCUAUCACUACAAUUAGUUUGAUUAUUGAAAGACUUCCUAGUUAUUUCAUAUAUAAAUUGUUCCACACUUAUAAAAUCAAAUGUGUGAGAUAUUUAAGAAACAAAUAACUUUAAAUUAUCUUUUUCAUAUUUGUUUUGUUGUGUUAUAUAUGCUUUCAUUGUUUUUACACAACUUAUUAAGGUAAGUCAUCAUCGAUGACUAGUAUAUUUCCAUUUGAUUUUAACUCUUUUUCUAUGAUAAUAUUUCUUCAACUCUAUAAAGGUGAGGUCUUUAUGACAUGUUUUAUGACUUGUUAUUUUGAUGAAACUCUUGUCUCAUUAAUUGCACAACAUUGAUGACAGACAAUGUUAAUACUAUAUCAGGUGAUAGAAACCUAAUUAAAGGCUCCAGAAUAACUUAUACUAUGUCAUUAGUAGUAUUUGAUUCUAUGUGAAUGACACUUUAUACGAUGCUAGAUCCAGAAGAAUCUUGUAAGACCAACUUAGUUCCCCAUGGUAAAAGGUCGUAUGGAUGUACAUUAUAAAACCAGAAGUUUUUAUUUUGUAACUAGUCUAUCUAUACACUUGAAAGAUAGAAUGACACGUUGUGCAAAUUAUCAUUUUAAUUAGACAAUUUUCUCGCCGUUAGGGGUAGAAGAGUCAAUUCCAGAAGAACAGCGUGAAAUUAUUUGGAAUGCAUUGACUUUGACUUAUCUUGAUCCUCGUACUAAUCAAUGUGAAGUGGAAGUUCAAAAGAUUAUUUAUUUGCAAGAACUUGUAAAUCAACUACUAAAUGUUUUCAUUGAUGCAAAGAAAGUGACGAUCAUUUUCACUUACCUAGAACAUUCCAGUACGAAUUAAUGUCCCUGAAUGACAAUUAAAUAAUGCGUUGAUGUCCCUGAAUGACGAUUAAAUAAUGAGUUGAUGUCCCUGAAAGACAAUUAAAUAAUGAGUCUAAUGCACACUUGUAGACCCCCUUUUAGGUCAUUCCUACCUUGCAGCUCAAUUUUACCACGUGGAAGAGCCUUGGUCAGCCACGUGUCAGCACCUGAGAAGCCAUGAGAGAAUCAUAAUAGUGGUUUGGGGAGCCAAUCAGGAGGUGACGCGUACAUGGGAAUAUACUGGCCGUUAGAGGAGCAGAUGCUGGCAGCUGGAGGUGAGGUGCUUUUGGAGAGGUUGCCAGCUGCAGGAAGGGGGUGUCGUCUGGCAGCUAGAGGAGCUCUCUGAGCAGGCCGUUAGAGAUUUUUUUUAGGUGAGAGAGGGAAGCUAAGAAGAGGAAAAAAAAAGUCAGAGGAGAAAGGGGUGAGAGUUUGAGGAGAGUUUGAGAGAGAAAAGAGAACCUGAGGGAAAACGAGACAAGAAGGCUGGUGAUAGGGAAGCUGACAGCUGCGGGAAGGUGGUCCGGGCUGCCGUUGGGUGAUUUUUCGAAGGAACGUUUGAGGCUGGAAUAGAACAUCGGCACUCUCAGGUAUGAAAGCAAAAGGUUUAUUGUUAGUUUUUUAUUCUUAUUGAUCCUCCAUAGUUGCUGUUGAUAUUUUGAAUGUUGUUUAGUUUGUUGGGAUGAAAUCUUGCUUUCACGGUUGUCAUUGCUGAUUUUGGUAUACUCUGCUUCUAUUAUGAAUGUGCCUCAAUGUUGUGUUUAAAAUGGAUUUUCUCACCUAAUCAAAGGGUUCAUGGAUGGCUCAUGAAAUGAAACCUCUGAAAACCUUUACUCGUUUUCUUUUUGUGUUUUUUUUUGUUUUGUUUUUUUUAUUUCAAUGGGUCCUUCUUUUGUUGUGGCCAAUAUUCUGCUUCUGGGUCUCGUUUAAUGCCAUGGCUGUGAGAAGAGGUUAUUUUGGGUUAAAGAAGCAAACAAGUUGCAUGAGGCUACUUUUGGCUGUUAGAGGGGAAUAUUUUUGAGGGAGUAUUCUUUCUGGGAAAGGGAAAAACGAGUUGUUGAAGCAGCUCCACACCAGAAAAAGGUGAAGGGAAUAGAGACGGAGCCCUUGCAGAAAGAGUGAACCCAUCUUUGAACUCUAUUCAGCUCACGUUUUGACCCAAAAUCUAUUCAAUAUCACUGAAGACAACGUGGGAAAUCUCUGUAUGUCACUCGAAACUGAACAGUAGAAGAAUUUGUGGGACGAUAUUGAGGAAGUAGAAAGGCUUGAAUGUAUUAAAAUUCUCAGAGGUGUACUAUGCACCAGGGCCUGUCUUGAGGGGAUAGUUUCUUGGCUAGUUUCAUGCUGGUAUUGGGAAAAGUAUUGGGGUGCUGCUCAUGACUUGAGUGAGGGAGAGAGAUCUACAAAGAGGGAAGUUGCUGGUUUUGACGACAUUAGAGGAGGAUUCAGGGCAUUUAAAACAGAGGAGGUUUCUGGAAAGAACAAGGAGGGCAUUGUGAGGGAUUCUGGCAGAGAGCGAGAGGGGAGGAUUCUGUUAGCUAGGGGACAGUUUCUUUGCCUGAGGGCAAGUUGUAGGGAAAAGGGGGAGAGGAAGAAAAGGAAAACGGGUGGCAGCUGAGAGGAUUUGUGAGGAGAAUAGGAUGCACAGUUGAAUGACAUGCAGCCAUGGAACUCCGUGCCUUUGAUUUUGGUGUGCCUUAAUGGAGGAAUUAUUUUUUUAAUGAGAGAACUCACAUGUGGCAGUUCAAUGGCUGAAAUUCUUCAAAAAAAAAAAAAAAAGUCAAUGAGUUAAAGUGGUUAUACAUGGAGAAAUUAAUGGUUGAAAUUCAAACGGGUGUACGUGGUGGGUUUUUGGAAAUUCAAUGAUGAAUAUUCAAGGCAUUUGAUAGUGCACAUCAACUAGCGAGUCGGCAAUCCGGAUGCACAGUUUUUGGUUUGUUUUUAUUAAUUUCACUUGCUUUUCAUAUUUUAAUUUUUCUUUUAAUAGAAAAUUGUUCGAGUGACUUUGGUUUGCUUUUAAAGAUCGAUUUUAAAUUCUACUUUAAUGUUUAAUUCUUUAACUUCUUUUAAUUCAUCCUUAGCAUUCCUAAUUUACUAAAAUCCAAUCUUAAUAAUCAUCCUUAGCAUUCCUAAUUUACUAAAAUCCAAUCUUAAUAAAUCAUUUGUUAUCGUAUUUCUUUUCCACUUAUGCAUGAAUUGCAUGGCCACCUUUUAGGCCACGUGUCACCUACUGUUUCAACAUCUUCGACUAAAACCCUCUUUUGUAAAUAAUUUUUAAAUUCUGUUUUUUUUUUUAAAUAAUCCUAAAAUCUAGGUUUUUUUUUUAAAAAAUUUCAAAUAACUUCAAUUUUUUUUUGAAUUUCAUCAUUAGAGUUUUUAGGUCCCGAAAAUCCGUUUUCCAAUAAAAUUCGUUGCCAUUUUUCUUCGGCAUACAUUUUUCGUUACUUCCAUGCUUUUAAAAUAUUUUAAAACAAGCAUAGAUUCAAUUCCGUAAUUCCGAAUAACAGGGUUUAUGGAAUUAAUUCAUGCAAAAUAAACGGGCUUUGGUGGGGGCCCCACAUAUGUGAUUUAUGAUCGAUUAACUGAUUGAUUGAUUUAAUUGUCAUGCAUGAUUGAUUUAUUCUGCUCUAUGACAUGCUCGAAAUUAUUUCUUAACUAUGCACUAACCCUCCUCUUGAUAGCGCAUAUUGGUUCGCCACCCAGGUAUGUAUUUUCCUGCAUCAUGGUCACUCCUUAUGCUUGUUUCUAAUUCUCAUAUGUGCAUGAUCGAUUUGGGUCUUCAUUGAUUUUCUCAUUGGUUGCCAUGUCAACUUCAUUUUAUUAGUAGAGACCCGACUUUAGGGACUUAGAGGAGUGCUACGGUCUUUACCGUACCUUCCCGAUAAGUAACCUGACCCCCGAACCCGAUUCGGUUUUUUGUAGAUCACCUUUUCCAAAUAAGGAGUCACACUUAGGGUUUUUCUUUCUUAUUUUGUUUACCCUUUUGAAAAUAAAACAAAAAUAAGUGGCGACUCCAAGUCAUUUUCUUAAUCAAUAAAAAUCAAUUUUUCAAAAUAAAAAUCGAGCUCGCCAUUCGAGUGGGAAACGCAUUGAGUCGAAAUGCGGGGUCCACAACACUUGAAGCGUGGUAAACCCUGAAAAGGCAAACAAAUUCCUUUAAAAGAAAAACACAAGGAAAGAUAUAUGAAAUGUGACACUCUUGAAGAAGUCGCAUAUAAAAUGAGUUAUUAAAAUGAUUGAUCAAUCUCAAGCAGCCCCUAAAGAGGCACAGUUUAAACAAGUAGCCUUAUGAUAGGUAUAUGUUUAAUAAUUAGUUCCUGAAAAUGUACAAGUACCUGAUAUUGAUGAGAUCUCAAUUAUUUACUUAUAUAUGAAAAAAAAAUGGGAUUGAAAUACUCUUGUCAUUAACAAUAUAUUUUCUUUCCAAAUAGCUGUUGACAUCAUAAGAAUUGAUGAGGAUCCCAAAGUAGAAACUAUGAAUGAAUGUCAACAUAGAAAAGAUUGGCCAAAAUGGAAAGAAUACAUCCCAAAAAAAUUAUACUCAUUAGAAAAAUGAGAAGUAUUUGAACCUGUAGUCCAAACGCCUGAAGUUGUCAAACUUAUUGAAUAUAAAUGAGUAUUUAUAAGAAAGUGUAAUGAGAAAAAUGAAAUCACGAUAUAUAAAAUGUGACUCAUAGCUCAAGGUUUUCCGCAGAAACCUAGUAUUAACUAUGAGGAAACAUAUUCUCCUAUGAUGGACGCAACCAUAUUUAGAUAUCUAAUUUGUUUAACAGUCUUAGAAUGACUAGAUUUGCGUUUCAUGAAUGUCAUUAUUGCAUAUUUACGUGAAUCUUUAGAUAAUCACACACACACACACACACACACACACACACACACACACACAUACAUAUAUAUAUAUAUAUAUAUAUAUAUAUAUAUACGAAAAUCCUUGAAGGAUUUCAAAUACUUGAAGCAACUAAUUCAAAAUAUUGUAGCAUAUACUCAAUUAAGUUACAAAGAUCCUUGUAUCAAUUAAGCAAUCUAAAAACAUGUGAUACGAUCACUUCAAUGAAUAUUUGAAGCGAGAAGUAUGUAUGUAUUACCUUAUUUAUUUAUACAUAUUCAUUAUAUUGAAUUUUUGCAAUUAUUAUAGUAUAUGUGGAACAUUGAAUUUUUUUGGAACUCCUGAAGAGCUUACAAAAAUAGUUGACUAUUUAAAAAUUAAAUUUUGAAAUGAAAGAUCCUGGAAAACAAUUUUUUUUUCCUCGACCUGCAGAUCGAGUAUUUUUCAAACGAAAUAUUAGUUUAUUAGUCAACAUAUACAAAGAAAUUCUUGAAGCACUUUCAUAUGGAUAAAUCACAUCCAUUAAGUUCUCUGAUGAUAGUUCAUUCACUUGAAGUGAAAAAUGACCCUUUUUGUCCUAAAGAAGAUAAUAAAAAACUAUUUGGUCCAAAAAUACCAUAUUACAGUGUUAUUGGUGCAUCGAUGAAUCUUGCAAAUUAUACAUGACCAGAUAUUGCAUUCCUUGUUAAUUUACUUGUGAGAUAUAGUUCUACACCAAUUCAAAGACAUUGGAAUAAAAACAAGCAUGUACUACAAUAACAUGGGUCUAUGUUAUUCCAAAUGAUCAGAAUCUUAAGUGCUUGAAUAUGUAGAUGUUGACUAUCUUUCACACCCCCACAAAGCUCGAUCUUAAAUGAGGUAUGUAUUUAUCUAUGGUGGUACGACAAUAUCAUGGAGAUCAAUCAUGCAAAUAAUGGAAACAUGUGGACUACCCUCCAUCAAAGGUAAUGCUACCAAGUUAAUAAUGCUGCAUGUAUUGCACAAAUUAAAGAAUGAUACAUUAAGGGUGAUAGAAUUAAGCACAUAUCGUCCAAGUCUUUUACUUUCAUUAACUCAAGAAUAGUGAUGAAAUUGCUAUUCGACGAAUAAAAUCAAGUGGCAAUUUAGUAUAUCUAUUCACAAAGGCAUUGUCAAUUACAAUACUCAAGAAGCUCAUUGGAAUACGCCGACUCAAAGAUCUCCAUGUUGUACUACUAGAGAAAAUAUAAUCAUGUCAACAUGAGGGGGAGCUAAUUGAUAAAAAUAUCACUACGCUACACUCUUUUUUCCUUCAUCCAAGUUUUGUCUCAUUGGGUUUUACUGGCAAGGUUUUUAAUAAGACAAUUGUGGUAAUCCAAAAAAAUAUUGUACUCUUUUUCUUUCACUAGGGUUUUUCCUAGUAAGGUUUUAAUGAGACAUAUUCUUAUGAUCAUACAAGGAGGAGUAUUAUAAAAUAUGAGAUUUUGUAUCACUAUGGUAACUUGUGGAUGAUCAUUCAUAUUAAUAUACAUCUCUUUGUAACUCCCUAUAAAAGGGAGAUACCUCUAAUGAAAAUUAAUCUGGUUCUCUUCCAACAUUUUGUUAUACUUUUCUUUGAAUAUCUUUGUUUAUUCUCUCAUAUUUUCUUUUUCUUCUUCUUUUUAUUUCACAACUGUGGACCCGCAUUUUUCACGUGCGCCCCCACUUGAUCGACGAGACUCGCUUUUUAUUGUGAAAAAUUAAUUUUAAAAAAAAGUUGGAGUCGCCACUUAUUUUAUUUUUUAUUUUUGAAGGGAAAAUAAAACAAGAAAUAAAACCCUAAAAAAAAUGACUCCAUAAUUUUUGGAAAAGCGUGUCUUUGAAAACCCAAGUCUUGGUCCGGGGAUCAGGUUACUUAUUGGGAAGGUACCUCUAGGAGGUAGCACCCCUCUAAGCCCUAAAGAGGUCUCUACUAACUAAGUUAAGGGAAGCGUGGCAAUUAAAUGGUUGACCUCGGGUACCUAAGUAGGCUAGGUGAUUCCAAAAAAAACAUAACAUAUCAAACAAAAUCAAAUCACAAUUAAGGAGAGUUAAAAAUGCGUACCUGGACAGCCUCCCAAGCGCUAUCAUAAAACAUAAGAGAUUAGUUUGGAGAUACAUCACACAACAUUGUUUUAUCAAAGAUAAUCAAACAAUCAUCAAAUGUAUAUCAAGGCAAUUAAAGAGGAUAGCAAGCAUGGGCAUACAUAUUCAUAGGGUUUAGAAAGUGGGUAUUAGGGAACGUACCUGGAUAGCAUAUUUAAUUCCUAAUGCGCUUCCACAAAACAUGAGAGGUUAGAUAACAAACAAUAAAAUAAGAAGUCCUAGCAUGCUCGUUAUCUAAUUAUCAUAGCAUAAAUUGUCAAAAUAUAUGAAAACAAUAAUUAUCACACUCAUCUUGUAUACAAUUUCUAAAAAAAAGAUAGAUAUAAUUUCAAAAAGUGACAAAAAUGGCAACAAAAAUAAUUUUUGAAAAGAUUUUCUUAUGUAGGGGUUUCACCAAUUCCCCAAAUUAAUAUACACAAAUUUAGCCCAGAAUUAUCCCAUUAUUUGGGACCACAAGCUUUGAUUCGUGUUUUUGUUCAAAACCAAACUUUUUGUUAGAAACUGAGAAGGAUGCAAACCGAACAAAAAAAUGGUUGCAUAUUAUUUUAAGAAAAUGAGAUUUUUUUUAUUCCAAGGACUCUAAAUGAAUUUUUUUUUUAAAAUAGGUUUUUAAAGGGAUCUUUUAAGGAAAGUGUUGGAUUUCAAAAUAAAAAGAAAUUAAUUUGAAAAUGACAAGACAUAAGGAACAAAAUACCAAGCAAAACAAAAGUGAUUAAAAUCGCAAAGUAGAGUUUUUGACAACUGAGAAAAUUGAAGUGGUGAGAAUGGAGGUCAAUCUUCCCUAUUUUCCGAUGGCCUCCGAAAAGUAAAUUUUACUAGAGAUUACCAAAGCAAUAAACUACUCAAACUCAGGUCAAAUAAGCUAACGAGAUACCCACCAAGAAUUAAUGACGAAUAUUUAAGAAACACAUCCAUUAAGAAUAAAAAUCAAGAAUUAGCAUGAGAUCAAUUAACCACACAAACACAUCUAGAUUUAUUAAAAUGAGACAAAUUAAAUCAAAGCAAACAAUAAUUUUCAAACAUAGAAUUAACUUUAUUAAUGAAGUAAUUUUAUAUAAAAUACUUAAAUCGAAUAGAUGAGUGAAACUAAAUCAGGGUAAACUAAAGGCAUGAAUUUUCAAAUAUAGAAUUGAUUUUAUUAAUGACCUAAAAUUUUACAAACUCCUAAAAUACUUAAAAUGAAUCAAUUUAAACAAAAGGAAACUAAAACAAAAUAUGGAUUUAGGGAAUCUAAUUUCAAAAUAAACUUACAUUAUUAAAAUGAAACCUAGGCUUAAAAUGAAUUAAACACUAAUUAAAGUCAAUCUAAACUUAAAUUCUUAACAUACAUGAUCAAUUAUUUUAACAAAUUAAAAUUUUACAAGAGCACCUAAACCUAAAGUUAUAUAAAAACACUAACAAGAACAGAUUUUUAAAAUUAAAUCUCUAACCUAUAAAAAUUAGUUUUAUUAAUAAAUAAAUGAAAUAGGUAAUGCAUGACUAAAUAAGUAUAGCUAAAACAAAAUACGGACUCAUGGAAUUAAUUUUUUUUUUUUUUUUGUGUAUAAACUUACAUUACUGGAAUAAAAUUUGAGCUUAACAAAUGUUUUUAACACUAAUUAAGGUAAGUUUAAAAUCUAAUAUUUAACAUAUAAAAAUCAAUCAUUUCAACAAACUAAAAUUUUACUUAAACCUAAAACCAAUUCAACCGACCUACAACAAUUUUUUUUUUUUUAAACUGAAUUUUUAGCCCAUAGGAUCAAUCUUAUUAAUAAAUAAAUAAAUUACAAAGAAUUAAAUUAAUAGCAAAUAAAUAAAUAAAUAAUCAAUAAUUAAAUGAAUCAAAACUAAAUUAAAUAAAGAUCAACUAUAUAUUUUUUUUCAAGUAAAGCUACAUAAAAUUGUAUUUUAUGAAUUGAAUAUAAUACAUCAAAACUAACCUUAAACAACACUAAUCUUUAAUGUAAUAAAUCAAAAAAUUAAACAAAAAGUGAGAUUGUGCUCCCAUAUUAAAACGAAUACAUGCUGGAGCCAAUAAAACAAAUCAACCCACUCAACCCAAUAUAAUAAUCCAACUUUAAAUAGUACAUCACAAGACAUCAAAGUUCCACCCAAUGUAAUAAAUAAAUAAAAAAUUAAACCAAAAGUGAGAUUUUGCUGCCAUAUGAAUACAUGUUGGAGCCAAUAAAACAAAUCAACCCACUCAACCCAAUAUAAUAAUCCAACUUUAAAAAGUACAUCACAAGACAUCAAAGUUCCACUAAAAACUCAUAAAAAAAUAACUAACUUACCUAGUUGGCUUACCAAAAAAAACCUGGUGGCAUGUAGUUGCUUUCUCUUCCCUAAUGAUGCUCGGGAACAAUGGUAUUGGUUGAUGGGAACUGAUGAGUUUUGGUUCUUCAGCCAAUACUCUUAUUUCAAAUCAACAAAGCUCGUCUCAAGGAACGGUAAGUAUAAAUUUAAGAACCCCGCAACUGGUUUUCAAUUAUUUUGAUAGCCAAUAAAAAAUGGAUAAUGUGUUCCAGAAGUUGGACGAACAUGAGGACGUAUGGCAGGAGAAUGGAGAAAAGCAAAUGUGCGGCCUGGUUGUGUAGUUGACGAUGAUGGGAAUUGGAGGAUUCUCUGUUUUUAAGGAUAUGUGGAUGGAUGGACUGCUGUCCAGAUGGUUCUCGAUUUUCAACCAAAGGAAGAUUCAGAAGACUCAUGCGACAGGAAAAUUCAGAUGACGCAAACACCAACUUCGGCCUGGCUACGUCAACUUCAGCAGCGGGGUUGACCAAAACGAUCUGGGUGUUCAGGAUCUAACCAUUGGUGAGUUCAAAUGUUGUCUCCCUUCUUUCCCUUCCAAAUCUUCCCGUUCCCUCUCCUCUAUACCUUCCCAAUCGCGGGGUGAAUAGCCGAUGAAUCACCAAACAGUUGCGUAUGUGGGUUUCCCCAAAACAACUUAUCUCUGCUCUAAAAAAAAAAACCUCCCUCUCUCGUGUGUCUUCCUUCCUUUUCUUUUCUUUUCCUUCUUCUUCCUCUUUUCUCAAUCUCUCCGACUCCUCUCUAGCCACCAGUGAUCGAAGGCACCGUAGCCAAGGUUUUCCUCUUUUCUGAUCAUUUUUUUUUCUCUUCUUGAAUGCAAAAAAAUAUUUUCUUUCUUUCCUGGUGCAGCUGCCACUUCCCUCUAGAGAAUCAUUUCCUUCUCAAUGGUCCCGUUGACUCUACCAAUAUGGAAAAAAUCCCUCACCGGUCUAGAGAAAACCCGUAAUCUUCCGCAUCAGUCCAACAUGAUUAGAACCCUACAUUUUGAACCUAGCCUUCAUUUCCAUCCCUAUACACACCGAACAUCUUCUUUUCACCUGCCAAAAUCAGCUUUGGUAAGUUUCUAAACCUUCCCAUCUCUCUCUUUCUUCCCUUUUUCAUAUCUGUCUUGGGUUGAAUGCUCUUUCAAAUCACGGUCGAAUCUCCCUUCCAUAGAACCCUGCAAUAAAAAUAGUAAAAACAAAAUCAUCCAAUUAAAUAGUAAUAAUAAUAAUAAUAAUAAUAAUAAUAAUAAUAAAUAAAUAAAUAAAUAAAUAAUAAUAAUAAUAAAGAUGAUUAAUCAUAUACAUGUACAAGAUAACCAAAAUAUUAUUUCAUGAUAAAGAAACAUAACGUUAGUAUCUUAUAAUCUCCUAAAAAUAAAUAAAUACAAGAACAAAUAAACUAAAACCCACUUAAAACAAAAAUCAAACAAAUAGAAUUCCAGAAGACAAACCUUAGUGUACUAAGCUUAAAGAACUACCCAAGGGAUUCUAAGUGGGCCUAAAGUGGUGCUUAAUGGACCUAGCCUUCCUAAGUGGGCCUAAGUGGGCUUAGAGUGGGCCUAAGUGUAUCUAAGUGAACCUAGGAUGCCUAAGUGAGCUUAAAGUGGUGCCUAAUGGGUUAGGCAUGUCUAAUGGGCCUAAGGUGUACUAAGUGAACCUAAGGUGCCUAAAUGGGCCUAAGGUGACUAAGUGGGCCUGAAGUGUCUAAAUGGGCCUAAAGUAAUCUAAUGGGCCAAGUGUACCUAAAUGGGCCUAGGGUUACCUAAUGGGCCAAGUGUGGUGCCUAAGUGGGCCUAAAGUGCCUAAGUCUAAAUUAGAGCUGCCAAAGGUCACAAUAAGAUGUCAAAUCAUCCCCCAACCAAAGUCUCCAAGGUGGCUUAGAAAAGAUAGGCUACACGAAUAUUAACGGGCCACCAGGGAAUUGUUAUAAACGACAUGUGCGAGGAAGACAAAAUUGAGGGUCUACAACAACAUAUAUAUAUAUAUAUAUAUAUAUAUAUAUAUAUCAAACUAUAAUUAUAUAAUUUUUUUUAAAUGUAUAAAUCCAUUUUAUUUUUUUAUUAGCUUAAAAUUUUUAUUUUUAAAUAUAGAAAUGUAUUUUUGUUAAAAAAUUAUAUUUCAUAUUUUUGUUCCAUUAUUACUUUUAUUCUUUCUUUUUUGUUUGAUUUUUGCAUGUUAUGUUGUCCAUUUUUCGUUUUUAUUUUUUUCAUUUUUUUAUUUGGAAAAAAAUAAAUAAAAUAUAAUUAAUAGUGACAAAUGAAAAGAGAAAAAAGAAGAAAUGUUGAAAAAUAAAAAUAAAAUUGGUCAUUUUCGUGCAUUUUAUUUUAUUUGUGUGUUUCGAUUAUUCUCCUUUUUAAACAAUUGCAUAAAAGAAAAAAAAAUGAAAAUGAUUGUAGGUGAUUUUCAAAAUAGAGGUGAUUUUCUUGAGGAAAGAAUUCGAAAGUUGAUGUAUAAUGUUGAAGAAGAGCCUUCGUUGUAGGUGGGACGAGAGAGGAAACAACUUUGAAUUUUGAAACUUUACCAUCUAAAAUCAAAACAAAAUCAAUUGCAAUUUACGCAAUUUUGUAGGAAAUUAUUAUUAUUAUUAUAAUGGUAUAACAAGUUUAAUAUAAAAAAAAUAAAAAAUUUGUAGUAUAAAAAUAUUAUAAUAAAAUAAAUAAAUUUAUUUUCAAAAAUAUGAAAAUUAAUAUAAAAAUAUUAGGGAAAAAUUAUGUGUACACAUAAAAAAAUAAAAUAUAAAAUUGAUGGAUUAAAUUAUUAUUGAAAUUAUAAUCCGACUUAAAGUCAAAUUAGAAGAAUUUUAUGAAAUGUCAUAUCAAAACUAAAAUACUAAAAAAUGUGUAGAAUCAAAAGAAAAUUAUACUUUUGUUUGUGAAAUUAUGACUAUAAAGAAUAACUCAAUUCAUUUUCAACUCCAGUAAAAAUUUUGAUAAGUUGUGUAUAUGCAUGUCUUGUUUAAAUCUCAAUAUCUAUAAAAUCUAGUGAAUAAUAGUGUGGACCCCGUAUUUCGCACGAUGUGUUUCCACUCGAUGGCGUGACUCACUUUUUGUUUAUUUGUGAAAAAUUAUGAUUUUUAGAAAAGACUUGGAGUCACCACUUAUUUUUGUUUUAGUUUUUUAAGGGAAAACAAAGUAAGAAAAAAAAACCCUAAGUGUGACUUCUCAUUUGGAAAAAAUGGUCUAUGAAAAACCAAAUCUAGGUUCGAGGGGUUAUGUUACUUAUUGGGAAGGUAGGGUAAAGACCGUAGCACCCCUUUAAGUCCCUAAAAAUGAGUCUCUACUAAAUAAGGUGAGUCAAACAUGACAAUUAACUAGGAGAUCAAUGAAUACCAAAAUGAUUAUAGGUCAAAAGCAAGUUAUGAUAAUGAAUAAAUAAAAAAAGUGAGAGUGAGAGCGUACCUUGGCAGUAGGUAAUAAAGCGCUAUCAUGGAAACAAGGUUAGCUCAAGUAUAAAAUUAUUACGCGCAUAUCAAAAAUCAAGACAAAAAUCAAGCAAUAUUCGUUAAGCAUAACAUUUGACAAUCAGAAGAGAAAACUCAUAUGUGGGGUCCUCACCAAAGCCCAAUUUAUCUUGCACGAAUUAGUAUCACAAAUUCCAUUAUUUUGGAAUUAUAAAAAAUUCAUUCUUGCUUAUUUAAAAUAAAGAUAAACAAAAAAUUAUUUGAAAAUCGAAGAAAAUUUGUACAAGUGCAUACCAAAAUGAGAAUGGUAGCAGACUCAUUAAAAUCAGGAUUUUUGGCAACCUAAAACCCUAAUAAAUGAUUAAAAGUUGUAGAUAAAAAAUAUUUGAAAAUUGGAGUGGGAUUAAAACUGUUUGAGAGAAAACUAGAGUUUUGAAAUUUAUUUGAAAAUUGAAGUCUCGAAAAUUAUUUGAGAAUUGGAGUUUUGAAAAUUAAAUUUAAGAAUUGGAAUUUUAGAAAUUAAAUUUGAAAGAAAUUGGAAUUUUGAAAAUUAUUUGAGACUUGGAGUUUUGAAAAUUAAAUUUAAGAAUUGGAAUUUUGGAAAUUAAAUUUUGAAAUAAAUUGGAAUUUUGAAAAUUAUUUGAGAAUUGGAGUUUUGAAAAUUAAAUUUAGGAAUUGGAGUUUUGAAAAUUAAUUGAGAAUUGGAGUUUUGAAAAUUAGUUUUAAGAAUUGGAAUUUUGGGAAUUAAAUUUGAAAGAAAUUGGAAUUUUGAAAAUUAAAUUUAAGAAUUUGAAUUAAAUUUGAAAGAAAUUGAAAUUUUGAAAAUUAUUUGAGAAUUGAAGUUUUUAAAAUUAAAUUUAGGAAUUGGAGUUUUGGAAAUUAAAUUUAAAAGAAAUUGGAAUUUUGAAAAUUGAUUGAGAAUUGGAGUUUUGAAAAUUAGUUUUAAGAAUUGGAAUUUUGAAAAUUAAAUUUGAAAGAAAUUAAAAUUUUGAAAAUGGAAGUUUUAAAAAUUAAAUUUGAGAAUUGGAAUUUCAAAAAAUUAUUUGAAAAUAGAAAUUUGAAAAUUACAUUUAAUAAUUGGAAUUUUGAAAAAUUAUUUGAAAACAAAAGUUUUGAAAAUCGGAAUUUCGAAAAAUUAUUUGAGAAUGGAAUUCUUAAAAGAUCAAAUUUUUAACAUAAAAUGAUGGAUUAGGAGGGUGACACGUCAAACAUUGGAUAGCAGCCCUCUAGAGUGGAAUCCCAAGGUUCUCCUAAAAAAAUACCUCAAUGUCUAAAUGGCUAUAAGCAUCUGUCCAAAAAAAAAAAAAAAACAAUAGUAGAUUUUCCAUUUGUUCCGGUCACUACUAAUAUCUUAAUACUUCUUGGAAGAAUUUCCGUAGCAAAAUCCAACUUAGACAAUAUUCUUUUCACUGAUUGCAACAAGAAGGAAAGUCCAUGACUUUCCAAGGGAACUCCUAGUGAAACAACUACCAUUUCGGCAUCCUUGAGAAGCUUUGUGUCAAAGUGUCCAAGAACGGUUUUCAAAUGACCAUGCUUUUCAAACAGGAGAUCGAGCUCAAGCGAGAGCAAGCUUUGUUGCAGCUCUACCAGAUUUUCCCAACAAGAAAACAGGAAACUCUCAACCAAACCCAAAUUCACGAAAGAGAAUCAAACCAUAUGGGAAACAUCUGGAUCGGCGCGGUAGCUACAGUUUUGUAACAAAUCUCACUUGGGGUCUAGAGAUUCAUGUUACCUCAAGCUUUUUCUUGUCAGCCUCAUCAUCCCAUGGUUUCACAUCCCAGUGUACAGUCCCAUACCCAAGAAUGCAUAAACACCAGGAACAGGGAGAAAACAACAAAAACAUAGCACAAAUGAAGAAAAUAAUAUGAACCAUCAAAAGCCACACUUCAUGUCUUAGUCAGUGGAUGAAAAGGAUUUCUAAAUAUCACAAAAGAGAUAAAAAUUAGUUGGACCAAUUUUUGAACACAAAUUGGAGCAACAAAGAAGCCGUUAACUAUGAAAAAAAAAAUUCAUGAAUCACCCAAAGAUCAACAACAACAUAUCUCAAUAAUAGUGGAUGAAAGAAAAAAUUUUCACAAUGGAGAACUUACUUCAGGGAAGACGUUGGAGGUCUUUCUUCUAUAGAGCCCAAUAACCCGUGAGCUUCUUCUCUACUUCUCUCAACUCACCAUUUCACUCAUAGAAAAACGAUUCAUUAUGACCCCCCUCAAAUCUCAGCUUAUCUUUUUUCUUUUUGUUCCUUUUAAAAUCCCUCAGCUGCCACAAAAACCCAGCACCCACUUUCCAGAUUUUUCUCCCAGAAAAUCCUCUUCAGCUGCUGCCCCUUUUUCUCUCUCCUCUCAUCAUAGUUUUCUUCAUUUUUUCCUCCGAUCCCCUUAUCUUUUUAGUUUUCUACCCCCCCUCCCCAGUUCACCCUCCAAACCUGCAGCUACCCCUCAGACUACUCCCAUAUUUUUUUCUUUCAAGCUCUCAAAACCCUCACAACGCACCCGACUCUCCUUCAAUCCCCUUGCUCAGUUUUUCAUUUUUUUCAAGCUGUCACCUCCUUCGGUCCAGCUCUCCCUCUCCAAGCUUCAAUUUUUCUCCCAAAAAAAACCCGUUCUCUCCUAAUUUCAUCCUCUGCUCAAGACAGCUCACCCAUGUUCUAUUUUUCUUUCACUUCUAGUCUCAUCCUCCAUCUGUUCCAUUGUUCUUGGUUCAGUGAAGACGUCACCACUCUCAACCACCACCAUGGCGAGUUGGUGACAUCCUUUUCCAUGCGUCUCAAUCAUGCAGCUUGUCCACCUCAUGGAGAGGUCAUCCCCCACUUUUCCAAAAAAAAAAAUCUAGCUCACUCCCGAGUACCCAAUGAGGGGUCUACAAAUAGUUACAUCAAAAUGAUCAAUUCAAAAGAAUUUAAGUCUGUAUUAAAAGAGCAAAAAGAUUUAUCGUUGAAAGAAAUAUUUGAAAACACUCUGUUGCCAGUUCGAAUUACUAGCUCCAUAGGAUUGCAACCCACCAACUAUGUUAUCUGAGAUGCUUGCCAAUCUACAUGAUCACUUCCCAUUGGCAUCUUUCAUAAGGCCAUCAAGAGUGGAUAUUUUGUAAUAUACACGUGGAUACAUUUUGGGAUGUAGUUUGAUAUUUUAUAUUAUUUUGUAUUUUUGGUGUAUUGACAUUUUCAUAUUAAUGUUGGGAGGUUGGAUUAACACUUAAAAUUUUUAAAUACAUUUUUACCUAUGUUAUUCAUCAUGGAUGAAAUAAGUAUUUUUGAAAUUUUAAUUUUUAAGAUUUUACUUUAUUCCACUAAUUUAUUUUUAUCAUUUUAAUCAAUUCUAUCUUCAUAAAAAAAAAUUAUAAAUAAGCUUUAUAAGAAUUCAUUUUUAUUAUCAAAUAAUUAUUUUGUUUUCUUAACAAAAUAAAUAUUUUAUAAUUUUGAAAUAAAAUAAUAAAUACUAUGUAACAUUAUCAAACGAGUUUUUUUUUAAAUUUUUAAAAAAUAAUUAUUGAUUUUAUCAAAUAAAUAAAAUAGUAUUUUAAUCUAUGGACCCCUUACUAUUUUUCUUUCCUUUUCAUGUAUCACAUGUUUAAUUAUUUUUUAUUAAAAAUUAGUUUUUGAUAGGCAUUGCUACUAUAAUACCACUUUCUUUUCAUUAAGGAGAGGCACAAGAACCCAUUACGAUUAGACAAUGGGUCAAAUCAUGAAGUCACAUCUCACUAGUAGAUUAAAAAAAAAAACUUUUAUAACUUUGUUGUUAUCUUUUCAUUUUAAGGGUAAAAUAGGAAAAAACAAUUACGAUGCACUCUAAAAUUGCUUUUAAAUUUAUUCCAAAAUUACCCUAAAAAAUUUGCCAUGAAUGUGAGAAAAGUGGUGAUGUGAUAGAAGGAAAAAGUGAUGAAAUGAAGAGGCAUGAGGUGUUGAUUGGAGGGUGGCACUGUGGAUGACGGUCCUAUGGUGCCACACCGAGGUGAAAGUGUGGGCUAGUAGUGAUAGUGGAGAGAAAUGGAUGCAAAAAAUGGGUAUGGUGGGCAGAUGAAGAGAAAGAGAAAGAGAAAGAAAGUGUUGUGAUUUGCAACGGUUGGUGGUAUUGGAGAAAGGCAACAUUUGGUGUUACAGAAGAGAGACAACAUUGUGUCACAGGAUGCACAAAUGACCCUCCCCAUGGGCUUAUUUUGGAGGUGGGAAGCUUAUGGAAACUCCUGAAGCCAUCUACACUAAGCCAUUGGUGGGAAGAGUGUGGAAGCUUCUAAAAAAGCCUAGGGAUGUUCGCACAUCUUUACAUUAUGGUGGAAGGCAUGAGAAAAUUCCAAGACUUUCUAGAGAGUUCUAGAGGUCUCUUGUAUAUUCUUGUACGUAAGCUUGUACAUAGAAUUAUAUAGGGUGUUCUAGAAUAUUCAUGAGUUGUAAGGAACCCUCCAAGGUUCUAGAGAGUCCAUUGGUGUUUAUAAAUGAGGGUCUUAUUUGGUCAGGGCACCAAGCAAGUGAGUUUCCAAGCAUUGUAUAAACUUUCUUUGAAAUCAGUAAAACUUCCGUUCUUUAAGUGUUGCCUACUACGCCCUCUAAAGCUUUUAAGUUGGGUGCAUCUUUGCAAAGCAAACUAAGUAUCAGGACUAAUGUUGACUUAGCAAGAUCAAGGGUCUUGACUUGUCUAAGUGUCGCACAAGCUUAGGAAAAGACUAAGUUUGUGACAGUUGGCACUAGGUUGUGGAUAAGUGGUGGUGGUGAUGUGGAGAAAGUGAAGGAAACAUAGAAGAAGAAAGAAAAAGAAAUAUGGGAAAGGAAAAGGGAGAGAAAAAAAUACUACUAGGUAAGGGAAACUAUGAGCGGUGGCCAACGACGACACUAAUAGAUAAUGUUAUCAAUGGUGCCGAUAGAUUCGGUGGAAGCGGUAGAUUCAGUGGGAAGUGAGAGGCGACAGUGAAUUGAACUUUGGUGGCAAAUCAUACACGACUACCCUCCUCCCAUCGCAAUCACCAUCAUUCUCAUUUUUCGCUUAGGAUCAAUGUGCCCUCUCUAAGCAACAUUGACAACCCCCCUCCCUCCCCUAUCUUUUUCAUUUCUAAUGUUGUUUUCUACAAUUGGAACUAGGUUUUCAAAAACAUCGACUAUCUCUGGAGGAGUAGUACUAGUACUGUGAAUGAUUGAAAUUGUGAUUUCAAAAUUAGGUUGGGUUCCAACAUAGAGGUAAUAGAGGUUGUUAAGCCUUCAGGAAGACGUGCACAAGUGAACAAUGUUCCUAGAGAUUAUAGUGGUGGAAGAAUACCAUAAAAAGAUAAGAAAAGAAAAGGGAAAAGGACUCUUUCUCAUGCCACCUACCCAUUCUCAGUGUUGACACAUUUUUCUAGCUGGCACCAUUCCCUCCAAUCGUCACCUACCCAUCAUCACCACCAUCCCUUACUUUCAUGGUAAUUUUUUUAAGAUAAUCUUGGAACAAAUUCAAAAACAUUGUUAGAGCGCAUGAAUUAAGAAUUUUUUUUUUCUCAACUUUAUACUUAAAAUGAAAAGAUAAAAGCAAAAUUCCAAAAACCUUAUAGCUUGUUUAACCAUAUAACUUAAAAACGGUUAUCUAAUUUUAAAAAUAGAAAACUGUUUUUUAACACUUUCAAUUGUGGUUGGUCAUUAUUCUAAAAAAAAAUAAUAAUAAUUUAAAACUAGAUUGAAAAAAAAAUCAGGAAACAAUCUCAUUGAUUUAAAUUAUUAUUUAAUUACUUGCACAAUCGUAUGAUUAUUAUUAUGUUUUUGUUAUAUUAUAUUAACAAGUGAAUACUAUGUUGUUGAUUCUAGAUAUCCUUGUAUUAUGGGUUUUCUUCCUCCAUAUUGAGGUGAAAGGUAUUAUUUGUAAUAUUAUCUUAGCAAAAGUUGUCAACCAAAGACUGAUAAAGAAUUGUUCAAUUAUUGACCUUCCUCAUUUAUAAAUAUAAUUGAGUAUUAUUUGUGUUUUAAAAGCACGUUUUUCAAUUUUAAAAAUGAUGUCAUCUUACAAACCAAGUAGACAACUAUAAAUAGUUGUAGCUUGUUGUACUCUUUAUAAUUUCAUUCGUAAAUAGACUUAAAAUGAUGUUAUAUUUAGACAAUGGGAAGAAGAACUUGAAUUUGAAGAUAAGGACGAUACUACAAUUGAAGUAAGUUAUGCAAUGAAUUUAUUAGAUGAAGCAGCAACGAUUAUGACAACUUAUCAAGAUCGUAUUUCAUAGUAGAAAUGGAAUGCUUAUGUUAAUAGUUUGUAAACAUUAGUCAUUAAAUAGUUAUAUUAAUAUACGAAGCAAGAAUGUGAAAUAUGAAAAUUGUUUAACUAUUAUAAUUGACUUGAAGUGUUUGUGUGUACUUGGUUUGCAAUUAUUUUUGUUAGGUGCUUUCAAUUUAAAUUUUUUUUUUGUUUUUCCCAUUAAAAAAAUCAAUCCAACUAUUUAUUUUACUCUCUUUAAAAAAAUGAAUAUUAAAAUUAUUUUUAAUCUUAUAGUAAUUUUUGUUUCAUUUGAAUAAAAAAAUUGUUUAAUAAUUAAAACAAUUAUUUAUCUAUAAUUUAUAUAAUUUGAAUUUUAUUUAUUUAUUUUUAGUGAGAUUUAACUUGAAUGUGAUUUAUAUUAAUGUAAAUUAAAUUUUAAAAAUAAAAAUACAAAAAUUGUUUUUAAAAACAAAGACGAUUCUUUUAUACAAACAAGUUUUUGUUUUUUAAAAACUAUUUUUGAAAGUAAUUGGCCAAACAAUUUUUCUUUGUAAAAAAUACAAAAAAAACCAUUUUUUAUUCUUUAUCUUAAAAAUAAUUUUUAAAAUUAAAAAACACGAUCAAACACCUUAUUUUGUUUUUAUUUUUGGUGUAUGAUUGCAUAAUUUUUUCAUUUUUUAAAAUUGAAUUUCAAGCAAGCUCAUAAUUAUAUAAUUAAAAAACUUGUUUGAUAGUAAUUUUAAGAAGCAAUUCUAAUAUUUUUAACACUUAAAAAAUGAAAAAAGAAUUAUUUUUCAAGUAUACAACGAAGAAAUACUUGUUAGGAUCACUGCUACACAUUCUCUAUGUAGACAUAUCCCACUUCUAACUCUUCAACUUCUGAACUCUUUUGAUGAAAUCCACACUCAAACCACUCACAAGCUCCAAAUUCAAGUCCCAAAUGCAGCCACUGCUUCAACCAGGUUUUGGAGUCAAAAUAAGAGACGUAGUGAUGAAUUCCAGAUAGUCCAUAUCUUAAAGUGAGAAAAUAUCCAAAAAAGAAUUUGUUGUGUUGAGAGGGAUUGCUUGAGAAAUUCAGGAUUAGGGAAUUAUUUUAUCUCAGUGUGGUUUAGAAUUCCAGUUUGGCAAAUUCAGGAUUCAGGACUGGCUUUGGGUUCAAAAUGAUUUGGGGUUUCUACUCAGAAACAUCCAAAAAUUGAACUAUUUGACAAAUUUGGGGUGUGGGAGCUGUUCCUUUGUUUGUGGGAUAUUUGUGCAUGAUUAUGGAACUGCUGAACUGUGUUACAUAAAUUCAAAUUUUAUUUGCUUGAUGGGGAAUUGGUCUGGGAAAAGAUAGCUGAAGAAUAAAGGGAUUGAUGUCAUGGGAUAAGGUUUUGUUGGGUGGACUUGUUUUCCAUGUUUUUUCUCCUCUAAAGGUUAGGGGUGAAAAAUUGUAUUAAAUUCAUUUUUUUGUGCAGAUUUUAUGAUUUUAAUGUUGUUGUUUUCCCUUUUGAAUAAGGAAUAUAAAAACAUUUAUGGAAUUUGAUUUCUUCCAAAAUUAGAUGAGUUAUGAAACCAAAAUAGUGGUUGCAUGUGGUUGAAUCUCGGUUUUUAUUUUAUAAUUUGUCAUCCAAAUCAAGCAAUUCUUAUAUUUUUAGUUUUGAAAAUGAAUUCCAAAAGCAUGGGCUAAUUUAUACCUUAUGUAUAUGAGUUUCACUUUGUAUAUACUUUUUGUUUUUAAAAACAAAAAGUAGGAAGUGUAUCCAAACACUUAUUUUUACUUAAGUUAUAAAGUAAGGAGGUGGAUUUAUUUUAUAAGUUGCUUUUGGUGUCAAAGAAAUUAUUCUUAACAUAAUUAUUAAAAAAAAAAAGAUAUCAAUUAUAUUUGAUUGGUAUUAUCAAUUAUGCUUUGCGGGACCAAGCAUGCCCCAUCUUCUUUGGGCCUCCCACUACUUUAAUCCUACACAGAUGACACAUUUUUAUUAAGAUCCAGAUCCUAUUAUCAUGGACUGGGCAAUGGAGGCUCAGAUCCGGCCGUAAUCAGACGAGCUGUUGGGACGCCAUGGCUGCAACUACCGGGUUGCCCCGCCAAGAAACGAGCCCUUCAUAAUCUCUGAUUUACUUGGAAAGUAUCAUCAUAGCCCCUCGAUUUUCUCAUUGGGAACCAAACAGAUCCAGGACCCUUUGAAGGACCCUAAAUACAUCCAACCAAACAAUAAUAAAUAAAUAAAUAAAUAAAGAUGGACAUCACGGGUCCAGGGAGGGCUCAGAUCCGCCCGUAAUCAGACAAGAUCCAUGUUCGCCAUGGCUGCAACUACAGUUGCAUGUGAAAAAACAGGGCAUAGAAACCCAUUUCACAGACAAUCCGGGUCGCCCAGCCAAGAGAUGGAUCCUUUCAAAUGUCUGAUUUACUUGGAAAGUGUCAUCACAGCCACUUAAUUUUCCUGCACAUUUUCUCAGCAACCAAACAGAUACAAGAUCCUUCUCAGAAAACACAUUUUAAAACACAAACAAAAAAACCAAAACAAAACAAAGAUCAGCCUCAGCGCGGAAGUGAAUAGCGCGUAAAAGGAAGGCUCAGAUUCGCCUUUUAUCAGACAAGAAAAAGAUGACCGUCAUGGCUGCAACCACAGUUGCUUGUGAAACAAGGCACAAAAGGUCCCAUCGCACAAACCAUCCGGGUUGCCCCGCCAAGAAACGGACAUUCCCAGUUCCUGACUUACUCUGAAAACGUCAUCACAGCCUUUUAUGUUGCCCAUAUGAACAGAGAGAUACCCCUAAAACAGAUCCAGAAAACACAGGGAGCCAAAAAAAAAAAGCAAUUUUUUUGGUUUUCCUUGGGGGUUUUGCGUGGAUUUUCUCGGAAAUCAAACGAGGAUGAAUUUUCCCGGAAAUCGAAUGGGGGAUGGAUUUUCUUGGGAAUCAAACGGGGGUUGCAAAAAAAUAAUAAUAAUAAUAACAUGAUUAGAUUAGUACCUGCGAGGAUUGAGAGUGGGAGAGGAAAAUAGGGCCUUUUUAGGGAUUCUCUCGUCUGGAGGGCAACUUCAGAAAAGGGCUUCUAGUUCUUGAUGCCCGAGUGGGAGAAGCGGAUGAUGGCCCUUUCGAUUUUUAUAUUUAGUGGAGAGAGAAAACAAGGGAAACAAAUCAUGAAAACAAUUUUCCUCUCUAUAUAAAUAAUUAUUAAUCAUCCAUCUUUAUUUUGAUUAAAUUACUACCAAAAUUUCGAUUUUUAUCAGUAAUAUUUUAUAAAUUAAAAUUCAUUUGAUAAAAUAAAUUAUUAAUAAAUUUAUUUAUUUAAAUAAAUUAAUAUUAAUAAAAAAAAGUUAUUACCAUGUAUUUUUAAUAAAAUCUUAAAAAUUAAAUAUCAAAUAAAAUAUUUUAUAUAAAUUAAUUUAAUUUUUCAUUUAAAAUAUAAUAAAACAUGUUUCAAUAAAAAUAUUUAAAAUUUUUUUAAAUAAAUAUUAUCUUCAAUAAGAUAAGUUUCUUUCAUUUAACAAUAUGAUGGACCCACAUCGAUCUUCAUUUUGAUACUAAAAACUAUUGCAAUCUCAUAUAUAUUAUACUUAUGUAUAAAUUGUUUUUAUUCAAUAAAAUCAAAUAUUUUUUAACUCAAUUCUAACUUUAUACACUUUCAAAAUUCAUAUUUAUUAUUCUUAAAAUUUAAAUAUCCAAUUUAUCAAUAUGUCUCUAUCUACCGAUGUUUUUCUUCUUGAUCAUAUUUAAGUCAAUUACACUUAUAAAACAACUUAAAAAUGUGUAUUCUUGUUUAUUUUAUCAUUUUUUGAAGUUUUUCCAAAUAUCCCUAUGACUUCUACAUAAUUUUCGUUCCACCGGCAUUUUCAUACUUACCCUGUAUCUAUAAAAAAUAAAUGAAAACAAUUUUAGGUUAGGAGUUAUAAGGACAACUAGUAUUCAUGCAGAAAAUCAGCAUCAGAAUUCGUAACUGCAUUUGAUCAGCUAGUUUAGGAAAUCUGUACAGCUCAUUCUUUCCUUUAUUUUCACAUAUGUUGUUAUACGUUAGCACAAGUUUAGGAGUAAUUUUAGUUUCUCAAAUCUGUAUUUAUACCUCUUCUUCUAAUAAGAAUUGUGUGAAUCAUUUUGUCUAAACCUCUAUAUGGUAUCAGAGCCCACCUCAAAACUCCAACGAGUAUUUCCUGUCUUUCUCACUUCUGCUAUGGCCACUUCUUCCUUUGAUAGUUUUCCAAUAGCCAUCAAUGCCACCCAGCAAAUUAUUGCACGUCUCACACCAACCAACUUCCCUUCAUGGCAUGCCCAAUUUGAGUCUCUCCUCCUCGGCUAUAACCUCUUUGGCUAUGUCGAUGGCACUCAUACCUGCCCACCCCUACCGACGUCAACUGAUGCAGCUGCCACUACCGCUCAUCACCUUUGGUUCCGUCAGGACAAACUUAUUCUAAGUGCAAUUCUGACUUCAGUGUCCCCAGCUGUGAUACCACUCAUAGCAACCUCCCAGACGUCAUAUCAAGCCUGGACUAAAUUGACAAAACUGUAUGCUAGUCGAUCCAGGACUCGUGUCAUGCAGCUCAAAGAGGAUCUCACCCUCAUGCAACGUGGCAAUCGCAACAUUACAGAGUACCUACACUCUGUAAAAACCAUUGCCGAUGAGCUUGCUCUCAUCGAUGCCCCAUUAUCUCAAGAUGACAUCACCCUAUAUGUUCUUCAUGGCUUAGGAUCAGAUUUUCGUGACAUUGUUGCCCCGAUUCGAGCCUGAGAGUCUUCACUCUCAUUUGAAGAAUUACAUGAUCUGCUACUUGGUCAUGAGGCAUAUCUUCGAAGGCUUGACUCCACUGCUCAAUCCUUGGUAGUUACUGCCAAUACCACUCAACGCAGGGACUCACGCUCCUCAAAGAAUCAGUCUUUAUCAACUUAUCAACAAUCCAAGAAUGACUCCAGAUCAAAGUCUCGACAGUCGAAACAAUACAAAUACCCUCCAAGGUGUCAAUAUUGUGAUCAACAAGGCCACAUUGCAAAAUACUGUCCGAAAUUGAAACCCUCUGAAGCCACUGUGAACUGCACAACUACUACUUCUAGUCUAGACAAACGUUGGCUCAUUGAUUCUGCGGCUUCCCAUAAUAUCACUUCUCAGGUUUCAAAUUUACAAUUUCACUCUGAAUAUGAUGGUACUGAUGAAGUUAUUAUUGGAGAUGGAUCAGGUUUGCCCAUUACUCAUUCCGGUUCUCUUACUCUUUCAUUUCCAAACAGAAAAUUUCAAGUUGAAGAUACUCUAUGUGUUCCUACCAUUAACAAAAACUUGAUAUUUGUUCACCACUUCACAAAGCAAAACAAUGUUAUCCUGGAAUUUCACCCAACUUAUUUUCUUGUGAAGGAUCGGAGAACGGGGGAGAUUCUUCUUCAAGGACCGUGUGAAAAUGAAGUCUACCCUCUACCCUCAUCGCCUGCUGCUACUCCAAUUGCUUUUGUCCAUGAACGCACAUCAGUAGCUGGUUGGCAUCAGCGCCUUGGUCAUCCAUCCUUCAAAGUUGUCACUCGCCUCAUUAGUUCUUUCUCCCUUCCCACCACUUCAUAUCUUUCUAGUUCUAAUAAUUGUCAUUCGUGUUCUACCAAUAAAGCUCAUUAGUUACCCUUUCAUAAACACGGUCUAACUAGCACAACACCAUUUGAUUUACUUUACACUGAUGUAUGGGGACCUUCUCCCACUCCUAGUCUCAAUGGCCACAGAUAUUAUGUUAUUUUUGUUGAUCACUUUACCAAAUAUGUGUGGUUCUUUCCAUUGCAUCAAAAAUCAGAUGUUAAAACCAUAUUUCCUCAUUUCUACAAAAUGAUUGAAACUCGUUUUAACAUAAAAAUUAAAGGAGUUUAUUCCAAUAAUGGAGGAGAGUUCACUGUUCUUUGACCCUUUUUCACAACCCAUGGCAUUAGUCAUUAUACAACAACCCCUUAUACACCCCAACAAAAUGGAGUGUCUGAGCGUCGUCAUCGCCAUAUUGUGGAGACAGGUCAAACCCUUCUAAGUCAUGCCUCUCUUCCAUCAGAAUAUUGGGCUUAUGCUUUUGCAACAGCCACAUAUCUAAUCAAUCGACUUCCAUCACCUGUUCUUCAUCAUAAAUCACCUCUUCAAGCUCUCUUCAAGCAACAACCUCGGUAUGAAAAAUUACGUUCCUUUGGAUGUUUCUGCUUUCCCUUGAUGAAGUCGUAUAACACAAACAAAUUUCAAAAGAAAUCUGUUCCUUGUAUCUUUGUUGGCUACUCUACUAGCCAAAGUGCAUAUCUAUGUCUUCAUCUACAAAGUCAACGCAUAUACACCUCCAAACACGUAACCUUUGAUGAAUCUGUUUACCCCUUCAAACAGGUUUCCAUGCCAUCACCCACUGACUCAUCCCCACCAGAAACCUCUUCUUUUCAGGACCAAUUUUGCAGCUUGCUUCCAGGGAGCUUCCAGCAAUCACACGGGCUCAAGGAGAUAUCCCCUCUGCUUCUUCGACUCCAAGUGAAGAUCCAGCUCUUGUGCAACCUCAAGAGGCACCACUCUCCACUUCAGAUCAGGUACCUCUUAGACCUUCUACUUCUGUUUCUCAACCAGAAAAUUCAAUACCAUCCUCUCCACCACCAUGUCCACGAACCAUCAUCACUCGCUCCAUGAACAAUAUCUUUCGGCCAAAACAACUCCACACUACCACCAAGCACCCCUUACCUGAACCACCCGAACCAAGUUGUGUAAGUCAAGCUCUUAAAGAUCCUCACUGGCGCAAGGCUAUGUCAGAAGAAGUGACAACCCUCCUUCAACAUGGGACGUGGGAACUGGUUCCUCCCACUCCUGGCCAGAAUCUUGUUGGGUGUAAAUUUGUGUUUCGGAAGAAACGAAAUCCCGAUGGAACAAUCAGUCGAUAUAAAGCUCGACUUGUCGCUAAAGGAUUUCAUCAACGGCCAGGUAUUGACUACUCUCAAACCUACAGCCCCGUCGUAAAGCCAGCAACAAUUAGGCUUCUUUUAACCAUUGCUGUCAUGCAUGGCUGGCCCCUUCGUCAGUUAGACAUCAAUAAUGCAUUCUUGCAUGGUAAUCUUGAAGAAACAGUCUUCAUGCAUCAACCUCCAGGAUUUGAAGAUCCAUCUCAACCUCAGCAUGUUUGCAAGCUAAAAAAGAGUAUCUAUGGUCUUAAACAAGCCCCACGACAAUGGUAUAAGGCCCUUCGGGAUGCACUCCUCAGCUUUGGUUUUAUUCACUCGGCCACUGACAACUCUUUGUUCAUCUAUAAGUCUCAUGAUAUCUUGUGCUACUGCCUUGUUUAUGUUGAUGACAUAAUUGUCACAAGCAACACACUCAGCUUUGUGAAUAACAUUAUCAACAAGCUUGGCUCUACAUUCUCAGUCAAAGAUAUGGGCUCCUUGCAUUAUUUCUUGGGAAUAGAAGUGAUUCCAACGCCACAGGGGCUCUUUCUAUCUCAACAUCAGUAUAUACGGGAUCUCCUUUCACGAACCUCCAUGGAAAAUGCUAAAGAAACACUCACUCCAAUGUCCACUACAACCAAGCUUACAGUUCAAGAUAAUUCUGAAUGUGUUGACAGCACUGAGUAUCGCAAGAUCAUUGGAGCACUUCAGUAUUUGGGACUCACUCGUCCCGAUAUUGCCUUUGCAGUCAACAGAUUAUCUCAGUUCAUGCAGAAGCCGACAACAAACCAUUGGGCCGCAGCAAAAAGACUACUCAGAUAUCUUAAACAGACCAUGUUUCAUGGUAUCCUUCUCCAAAAGCAUGAUCAAUUCCAACUCAAGACCUAUAGUGAUGCGGACUGGGCAUCAAAUACGGACACUCGUGUUUCAACCACUGCUUUCAUCACAUUCAUUGGUCCUAAUCCAAUCUCAUGGUCUGCACGCAAGAAAAGGGCAGUCUCAAGAUCAUCUACAGAAGUAGAGUUUCGGGCACUAGCUACUGCCACAUCAGAAACAAUUUGGCUUCAUUCUCUUAUCAAGGAACUUGGUCUCACUCUCAUAGAAGCACCUCAAAUGUUUUGUGAUAAUAUUGGCGCCAACCAUUUCAGUUUAAAUCCAGUCCAGCACACACGGAUGAAACACAUUGAAAUUGAUCUCCUCUUUGUACGAGAUCUUGUCCAAAAGGGAACUAUUCGUGUUCAGCACAUCCAUACCAUUGAUCAACUAGCUGAUCUCCUUACAAAAUCACUCUCACGUCAACGCUUUCAACUAUUAAGAUCCAAGAUUGGUGUUGCAGAUGGCACCUCCAUCUUGAGAGGGCAUAUAAGGACAGCUAGUAUUCAUGCAGAAAAUCAGCAUCAGAAUUCGUAACUGCAUUUGAUCAGCUAGUUUAGGAAAUCUGUACAGCUCAUUCUUUCCUUUAUUUUCACAUAUGUUGUUAUACGUUAGCACAAGUUUAGGAGUAAUUUUAGUUUCUCAAAUCUGUAUUUAUACCUCUUCUUCUAAUAAGAAUUGUGUGAAUCAUUUUGUCUAAACCUCUAUAGGGGUGGACUUGUUUUCCAUGUUUUUUCUCCUCUAAAGGUUAGGGGUGAAAGCAACUUAUAGCUGAUGGUUGUUUUCAGAAAUAAGCUGAUCAUAUCAUAGCUGACCGAUUUCUUCUUUGGUCAUCUUGAAGCAAUUUUAAUAUUUAUUUUUCAGUCAGCUACCUUCUAUCUCUUCUUAGCUAUCUAAAAAUCCUCACUCAUCGGCCUCCCAAUAUCAAUGAAAUGGUGCCCAAAAUCUGAAGUGGCUUGAAUUCAGUUCAGGUCUAAAUAGUGGUUUCUGAAUGUUGUUAAGUGGUUUAUUUUUACAUGGCAAAACAUCUAAAAUUAGUAAUAAGAUUUAAUUAUUAUCUUUCUUCUUAUAAUUAACAAUAUUUUCAAAUAUCUCAAAAUGCCAAAAUAUAUUCCUUCUUAUUUUAUAAAAUUGGAAUUAGAUAUUUGAAAAGUAAUAAUUUGAAAAAAUAAUAAUAAUUUAAAAUAUUUCCAAAUAACAAAAAUACGAAAAUUGACUACAUUACAAUGAUGGUAAUUAAUAUGUAAUUAAUUAUGAUAGAAGUUAGUGUUUCUAAUUAUAUUUGGCUAUUAAGAAAAUGUUAGAAAUUCUCUAGGUUGAGUUUCCUUAAUUUUUCUCUCUUUUUUUCUAGUGGAUGUUUAGAUAAAUGUGAGUUAUGUUUUGGAGUUUUAAUUGGAGAAAUUCUGUGAUGAUGUUUUAUGUCAGUUUUGUUGCAUUCUGAGGUGUUGAACUUUGAAAAAUUGUAUUAAAUUCAGUUUUUGUGCAGAUUUUAUGAUUUUAAUGUUGUUGUUUUCCCUUUUGAAUAAGGAAUAUAAAAACAUUUACGGAGUUUAAUUUCUUCAAAAAUUAGAUGAGUUAUGAAACCAAAAUAGCAGUUGCAUGUGGUUGAAUCUCGGUUUUUAUUUUAGAACUUUUUGGAUUUAUUUUAUAAUUUGUCAUCCAAAUUAAGCAAUUCUUAUAAUUUUAGUUUUGAAAAUGAAUUUCAAAAGCAUAGGCUAAUUUAUACUUUAUGUAUAUGAGUUUCACUUUGUAUAUACUUUCUGUUUUUAAAAACAAAAAGUAGGAAGUUAUAAAGUAAGGGGGUGGAUUUAUUUUAUAAGUUGAUUUUGGUGUCAAAGAAAUUAUUCUUAACAUAAUUUUUAAAAAAUAAAAAAUAAAUUAUAUUUGAUUGGUAUUAUAAAUUAUGCUUUGUGGACCAAGCAUGACUCAUCUUAUUUGGGCCUCCCACUACUUUAAUCCUACACAGAUGACACAUUUUUAUUAAGAUCCAGAUCCUAUUAUCAUGGACUGGGCAAUGGAGGCUCAGAUCCGGCCGUAAUCAGACAAGUUGCUGGGACGCCAUGGCUGCAACUACGGUUGCCUGUAAAAUGAAACCCAUUUCACAGAUCACCCGGGUUGCCCCGCCAAGAAACGAGCCCUUCAUAAUCUCUGAUUUACUUGGAAAGUAUCAUCAUAGCCCCUCGAUUUAUUUACUUGGAAACAGAUCGAGGACCCUUUGAAGGACCCUAAAUACAUCCAACCAAACAAUAAUAAAUAAAUAAAUAAAGAUGGACAUCACGGGUCCAGGGAGGGCUCAGAUCCGCCCGUAAUCAGACAAGAUCCGUUUUCGCCAUGGCUGCAACUACAGUUGCAUGUGAAAAAAAAGGGCAUAGAAACCCAUUUCACAGACAAUCCGGGUCGCCCAGCCAAGAGAUGGGUCCUUUCAAAAUGUCUGAUUUACUUGGAAAGUGUCAUCACAGCCACUUAAUUUUCCUGCACAUUUUCUCAGCAACCAAACAGAUACAAGAUCCUUCUCAGAAAACACAUUUUAAAACACAAACAAAAAAACCAAAACAAAACAAAACAAAGACCAGCCUCACCUCAGCGCGGAAGUGAAUAGCGCGUAAAAGGAAGGCUCAGAUUCGCCUUUUAUCAGACAAGAAAAAGAUGACCGUCAUGGCUGCAACCACAGUUGCUUGUGAAACAAGGCACAAAAGGUCCCAUCGCUUAAGCCAUCCGGGUUGCCCCGCCAAGAAACGGACAUUCCCAGGGCCUGACUUACUCUGAAAACGUCAUCACAGCCUUUUAUGUUGCCCAUAUGAACAGAGAGAGAGUGAGCGCUGUUGAUAGCCUCUGAUGUAUAUGUAUAUAUAUAUAUAUAUGUAAAAGAGCGAAGGAAAAGGAGCGUAGUAGAAGGAAUCAUCGGCUCCGACGACCAUGAGAGUGGCAGAGGAAAAUAGGGCCUUUUUAGGGAUUCUCUCGUCUGGAGGGCAACUUCAGAAAAGGGCUUCUUGAUGCCUUAGUGAGAGAAGUGGAUGGCCCUUUCGAUUUUUAGAUUUAGUAGAGAGAGAAAACAAGGUUAACAAAUCAUGAGAACAAUUUUCCUCUCUUUAUAUAAAUAAUUAUUAAUUAUCCAUCUUUAUUUUGAUUAAAUCACUACCGAAAUUUCGAUUUUUAUUUUGAAGGACCCUAAAUACAUCCAACCAAACAAUAAUAAAUAAAUAAAGAUGGACAUCACGGGUCCAGGGAGGGCUCAGAUCCGCCCGUAAUCAGACAAGAUCCAUGUUCGCCAUGGCUGCAACUACAGUUGCAUGUGAAAAAAGGGCAUAGAAACCCAUUUCACAGACAAUCCGGGUCGCCCAGCCAAGGACAGGUCCUUUCAAAAUGUCUGAUUUACUUGGAAAGUGUCAUCACAGCCACUUAAUUUUCCUGCACAUUUUCUCAGCAACCGAACAGAUACAAGAUCCUUCUCAGAAAACACAUUUUAAAACACAAACAAAAAAACCAAAACAAAACAAAGACCAACCUCAGCGCGGAAGUGAAUAGCGCGUAAAAUGAAGGCUCAGAUUCGCCUUUUAUCAGACAAGAAAAAGAUGACCGUCAUGGCUGCAACCACAGUUGCUUGUGAAACAAGGCACAAAAGGUCCCAUCGCACAAACCAUCCGGGUUGCCCUGCCAAGAAACGGACAUUCCCAGUGCCUGACUUACUCUGAAAACGUCAUCACAGCCUUUUAUGUUGCCCAUAUGAACAGAGAGAGAGAGAGAGAGCUGUUGAUUUUCCAGAGAAUCAAGACAGCCUCUGAUAUAUAUGUACACACAUGUGUAUGAAAAGAAAGAAAAGAAAAGAAAGAGCGAAGGAAAAGGGCUGUUGAUGGGCGUCGUAGAAGUAAUCAUCGGCUCCGAAGACCAUGAGAUUCAGAGAGGGGCAACCACCCUUAGAAACUCCCCAUCCCUCCGACACGGUCCCUGGAGCCUCAGUCUUAAACUAAUGAGGUCUAGCCCUAACUUUUACUCAUCCUUUCCCUUUUAUACUACUCCCUGUCUUCUUCUUCUUUGCUUUUAUUUUACUUUUUUGACCUUUCUACCCUCACUAAACCCGGUAUCAAGGAUUGAAAUGUCGAAUUUCGGGAAAUUUCCCGAUAUUUCCUACCAGUCCAGCCCGCGCACAGGAUACAAAAUCUGUCCAUUUUUUAAAAAAAAAACACAAGAUGUUAUUUGGUAAUCUGAUCAUGAUUUGCAGGCAAAGGUUGUGUUUUUCAGCCUGGCUCAAAAAUCGUGGAUUUAGGGUUCGUGAAAUUUAAAUCCAAUGGCACAAAAGCAAAGAGACCCCUAGAACAGAUCCAGAAAACACAGGGAGCAAAAAAAAAAGCAAUUUUUUUGGUUUUCCUUGGGGGUUUUGCGUGGAUUUUCUCGGAAAUCAAACGAGGAUGAAUUUUCCCGGAAAUCGAAUGGGGGAUGGAUUUUCUUGGGAAUCAAACGGGGGUUGCAAAAAAAAAAAUAACAUGAUUAGAUUAGUACCUGCGAGGAUUGAGAGUGGCAGAGGAAAAUAGGGCCUUUUUAGGGAUUCCCUCGUCUGGAGGGCAACUUCAGAACAGGGCUUCUUGAUGCCCCAGUGAGAGGAGUGGAUGGCCCUUUCCAUUUUUAUAUUUAGUAGGGAGAGAAAACAAGGAAACAAAUCAUGAGAACAAUUUUCCUCUCCUAUAUAAAUAAUUAUUAAUUAUCCAUCUUUAUUUCGAUUAAACCACUACCAAAAUUUCGAUUUUUAUCAGUAAUAUUUUAUAAAUUAAAAUUAAUUUAAUAAGAUAAAUUAUUAAUAAUUUUAAUUAUUUAAAUAAAUUAAUGUUAAUAAAAAAUUUAUUACCACAUAUAUAUAAAAUAAAAUCUUAGAAAUUAAAUAUCAAAUAAAGUAUUUAUAUAAAUUAAUUUAAUUUUUCAUAUAAAAUGUAAUAAAAAUUUAUAAAUAAAUAUUGUCUUCAAUAAGAUGAUUCAUUAGAUGAAACCAUAUCAAUCUUCAUUUUGAUACUAAAGACUAUUACAAUAUCAUAUGUAUUAUAUUUAUGUAUAAAUUGUUUUUACUCAAUAAAAUCAAAUAUUUUUUAAUUCAAUUUUAAUUUUAUACAUUUUCAAAAUUCAUAUUUAUUAUUCUUAAAAUUCAAAUAAAUCUACUGAUGUUUUUCUUCUUGAUCAUAUCUAUAUCAAUUAUAUUUAUAAAAUAACUCUAAAAUAUGUAUUUUUACUUAUUUUAUCAUUUUUUUUAUAAUUUUCUAAAUAUUCCUAUAAAUUUUAAAUAAUUUUCGUUCCACCAAUAUUUUCAUUCUAAUCUUGUAUCUAUCGAAAAUAAAUGAAAGACAAUUUUUUACAACAAAAUUUUUUAUGAUUUUUAAAUCAAAAGUUAGUUUUAAAAUCUCAAAUAUUUUUAAUCCACUAUUAUGUUUUUAAAAUUAUAUAAUUAUUUUUUAAAAUAAUAAAAACAAAUAAAAAUAAUUAAGAUUAUGUUUAGUUUGUUAAAAAAAAAUAUUUUAUCAAAUUUGAUUUAAUAGUGAAAAUAAAAAUAAAAUAAUAAUUAAAAUUACUUAAAAACCAAUGUAACUUAAAUUUUUUUUUUUUUUGAUCUUUAGCUUAAAAAAAAAAAAUAAAUAAAAUGAAUUUGAAAAGAUAAUUAAUCUCUCUAAAAGGAAGAGACUCAAAAUUAUCGGAGGAAGAAAAAAAGGGAGUAAGAUUUGAAGGAUAAAAAUAAAGAAGGAACAAGUGGGUGGGUAUUGCAUUAUAUCCAUGAGUUGAUCAAUAACUAGCUCCAUUUCCUUUCCUUUAUUUUCUUGCCAGCCAAACAAAAUCUCAAGCCUGGAACCAUCAUCCCAGCAACCAUUUAUUAAAAGCCAUACACCAAGGAUUCGUAUAACACCAUGGAAUCAACCAUCAUCACCCUCUCAAACCUACAUGCCAAAGCUACACAGACUACUCCCAAGUUCCCAAAUAACCAAGCUUCAUAUCUACUAGCUCCAAAACGGUUAAACAAGAUGAAAGAAGGAAAGGAAGAGAUUACUUGAUGAGAGCCUGGUAAAGGCAGAUCUGCAAAAAUUACAAGCCUUGUCCACAUAGCUUUAUUUAUAGCCCCAUGAAAGCAGAAUUACUUCUUCAUUACCAAAUGUCAGUAUAGGCAAUGCCAGACCUCCAUCUUCCCAUGGCUGCCAAGCCCUUUUAUCAAUAUGUGAAGAUGCAAACCAAAAUGGUUAGCCCAUCAUCCAAAGCUAGCUCCUCCUCCUCCUCCUCCUUAUUUACACCUAACAGUUUCCCUGAUUCACAACAAGUUCAAUUUCCUUGCUUAACAUCUUUCAGAUAGAACAGAACAAUUACGAUUACAAUCACAAAAUGUAACACCACCCCACAUCUUCCUCUGUUUAGCUAAGCAUUACAAGACCUCAAAGUUGAUGUUCCAUCAUCAUAAUAGGCAUGGUGUAUUUCCAGUCUCAAACAAGUUAGGUUCCAUCCUAACACCAUAAUGGUGGGUUGUUUUACAUCAGACAACGAAUCUGAGUCAGUUAACAGGCAAAAAGAAACAUUCAAUAGUUCAAGAAGAUGGCUUAGAAUUUUCUGAAAACCUCAAAACUGUUUUCAUUUAUAAUUACAAACCAACCCAAAAGUUGAACAAUAUGAGGCACUGGGCUGAACAAUCACCUCAGAACUCUGGUAAAAAGAAUGAAGGUUUCUAUAGAUAAAAUGGCCUUUGCAAAUAAAGCAAUGAGAAAAACGGGAUAUAAAUUAAGGAAUAAUAGAAUGAAAAUGUUGAAAGGAAUUUCACAUGGCUUCGAAGAAUGAAUAGAUUCCGUACCCUUGCCGAGAAAUUACAUGGCUGCCUUGCCCCUCUGUUGAAGUACUAUAUCAUGCACAACUUCCCCUGCUGAGUUAACAAAGUAGGUUUCCUGCCAUGGAAAAAGAACAUUUGUUGGUGCUUCAACAAGAACAAAUUUAGUCAAAAAAGACAAAUACUCACAAUCUCUAAGGAGCUGACUCUAUGAAGAAGGAACCCAUUAACCAUUCCCCUGAGGAAACAAAGAAAAAAAUCACACAAACUUCAUAGUUUCAUAUGUAUGAACCAAUGUAGAACACCAUGAAGAACUAUGAACAGAAAUACUCACUUACUAAAACCUGAUAUUCCAUUUACAGAAGCAAGAGGAAGUUUUUCAUCUAUUGAACCUGGGUUCCUGAUGUAAGCUAUACUAUCUUUACGAGCAUAGUCACUACAUCCCUCCCCACUCAGGUACACAUCCUGGUGAGCAAAUGCAUGGAUAAAGCGUUACUUUCUUCAUAGGCACCAGAAAGAUUCCAAAUUUAACAUAUCAGAAAGUUGUUCAUUCAAUUCAUUAGGAACUGUCUUAGAUUUUCAUAUAUAUUGAAAAUUUGGACUUUGAUCAUCUCAAAAGCAAGUUCUCUAAAGAACCCAAAAUCAAAACCUUGGGCAUGGGAUGUCUUCACCCAUUGAUACUCAAUGGGAAGAGCCAUAAAUACUUACCACUCCAAACUUAUAAAAAAUAUGGUGUAGAUGCUCAUAAAGUUGUAUUUCUAUUCAUUCCCUGUUUCCUUCACAAACAGCCAAUGAGCAGAAACCAACAACUAUGCGCCUGGAUCAUAAGGAGGAAAAAAGGAGACAAUUAGUACUUGGGAUGGAUAGUUUCUUUAUUAAGUUAAACAUGGAGUUGAAAUGGUAGGGGUGCUUGGCAAUGGCAACAGGACAGCAAACAAUGAAGGUCCAACAUAGUAACCAGAGAAAACAAAAGGAAAACGAAUGUUUUAACUCCACAACAAUUUGGGUUAAGGCAAAAUUUAAAUGAAAACCAAAAUUUUAUUGUUGAAAGAAAGAAAAUUUGUGAAAUAAAAUUAAGUUGAGAAGUAGAUUAUCACGCAUCAGAACCACUCUGAACUGACAUGAUUUUCAAUUUUUUCAAAAUUUUCCAGACAUUACAACCUUGCUUAUUCCUAGGUUCAUGCAAUUAUAAACAGCCAAUAUGGUGCAAUGUCUAGUGUCUUUGUCAGCCCAUGUAAUUGAUCAUUUCCAGCACCAUUUAACGGAUUCAUAAGCAUAAAAUCCUUCAAGUUUCAAAGAGGAGCCCGAUUAAGAGGAAAGAAGAAUGAAAUGCAGCAUAAAGGAGCAGAAACCAAAAAAAAAAGAAACAAAUGGGGGAUAAAAUGUGUGAUAAAUACAUAUAUGGGAUAUUGAUAGUGUAACUAAAUGAAAUAGAUAUCAAAUCAAUCAUAUACACAUAUAAAUACAACAUAGAAAUAAGCAUGGCCAUGGUGAAAAAGGGCUGCAAUGUGGGUUGUAACCAGAGAAUGGAAUAUGGACAAGGAGCAUAAAAAAUGAUUUGGCAGGCCAAGAAAUGGCUAUUUUAAUAUGAUGAAAAAGAAAGAGAACAAAAGAAAUUCAUUAUGAACAUGACUUGAAGAGUACACCUACGCUCAAAUAAUGACCAAGUGAUCAACUUUAAAAUCACAUUCCUAACCUCAGCCCUACCCCUCAUGGAAAAAUGGAAAAAAAAAAAAUUCUUAAAAGGCCUUGAGAGGGGUAAACCUGCUGGGACUCAAACCUGGAACCACCCCACAUCCCCACCCCCAACCCAAGCUACUCGAGCCACACCUCAAGGGUGAUAAAGAUCUAACCUUCAGCAUUGAAUAAAAAAUAAUCUAAAUGUGCAAAAAAUAUCCAGCAUUUUCUCAUGCAUUUUAAUUGCUUACUAGACUAGAUAGAAUCUCCAGUCAUUGAUGAGAACAAAGAACUCAGUGUCUUUAUUAUUAUUAUUGAAUAAAAAAUAAUCUAAAUGUGCAAAAAUAUCCAUUAUUUUCUCAUGCAUUUUAAUUGCUUGCUAGACUAGAUAGAAUCUCCGGUCAUUGGUAAAAUUCAAUAAUUCCAAUUUCCACCAGUUGAUUUGUCAAGUCCCUAAUUAAAUAAUGAAAGAUACAAUACUUGAUGAGUUAUAUACUAAAAUACUUGUGCUUCCCAAUCUAAUUCUAACAAGAACCCUACAAAAUGCACACCUUAAUCCAACUCAACCAACACUCAAUCUUGCGAUUACCUCAUAGUCCACAAGGUACAUCGGAGAGACCUAACUUAUCUUGAUGUUACAAGAUUUCACAUGAACAUCUGAAUACUGGUUUCCAUAAUUCUUUGUUAUCAUACAUCUCCUGGGGCAUGGUAAAGAUGAAUAUAAAAACAAAAUGAAAUCAAUACAAGAAGUUGAUAGCCCCUCUAUGAUCAUAACUGGGGUCAGCACAAUCAGUAACAUAAGAUUCAUGGUGUAGUAUUGAAGUGUAUCAUAAACUCAACACAAGCAUAUGCAAUGUCAAUUAUCAUUAAGUCAACAAUGAUAUUAAACAUUGGUAUAAACAAAUGAAACAAUGACAACACAACAGGAAAAAACCUUAUACAACUAUUAAUCUAUCCUCUUUGGUAGUCUUUUAUCAUCUUCCACAAAUUUCCCAUUUUCCUCCAUAUGCUGCUCAGAAUCCGACCCCAUUUUUUUUGUAUCUUUGUCAACAUUAAAGGAAAUAAAUGCAUGCAACUUUUAAAGAUUUGAGGCCAUGUGAAAAACUUGUCAUUUGAUGUCAAGUUUUUUUUUAUAUGAAAAGGUUUUCCAAAAUGAGAAUUGCAGAACUAUCAAUCUAUCUUCAUCUAGGUUUGGAGCUUCUCAAGUCUUUUAUCAAUUAUCAUCCUCCAUAAAAUUCCAGUUUUCUUCUGUACAUUGCUCAACCUCCAACAUAAUUUUUAAUUUUUUUUCUAAUUAAGAUUAAAUACAUGCAUAUUUUGAAGAUUAAGCCAUGUGGAGAAUUGUCAAUCAAUCGUAAGUUUUUCCUAUAUCAAAUGCAUUUUUUAAAAUUUUCGGCCUUGUUGGAAAAAAGACCUAAUGAGAUGGGUUUGUAUCACAAAACACUAAGGAUUGACUCAAAAGUCCCAAUGAAAUUAUAGCUACUGUAAAAACCAUGUAACCGCUUCCAAACUUAAACCCAUAUUACAAGAGGAUAGUAGAAGAGGCCUCUCUUCCGACUGACAUAAUAACCAUGAGAAGUAUUAGCCAACAAAUCUUAAAUUGAGCAAAUUCAACAAACCAGUUGAUACCUUAAAUGCCCCAGUAUCCAAACCAAUAAUGUCUAAGGUUUUCCCAAAAGGUAUUUUGAUCUGCUUUAGGAAGUAACCUGUUCCCCGUCCUCUUGAAACUCUGGUACUGUACCUACAAGAAUUACAAUUCAGGAUUACCACACAAAGAGACUAAACCAAAAAGACUGUUACAUUAAAAACUACAUCGGAGUCCAAGUUUUGUAACAAUGAAAUUUCAAAAGAUGAGCUACAAAAAUGACACAACUGAUUGCAAAGCGGAUGGCAUACCAGGGAACUUUCAGUGUUGAAAAACGCCAAGUACCCUGUAAAAGAAGAUGUCAUCUUCUAAGAUUGUUCCUAACAGAUGAAACCAAUGAAAUCUAAUUAAACUCAGCACUAAUUUAUUUUCCAAUCACACACCUAUAAAACAAAACAAAAUAAAACUACAGAAAUAAAUAUGAACCACUAUUCCAUUACUUCAACCAAAGCAUGGUUUCUAUUAUUUCAGUUAAAUUCACAAAAAGUUAGGAGAGAAUCAUUUCUACAACUUACCCAGAGUGAAGCAACGCAUAACUUUGAUUAAAUCUGGCUAAACUACAACUAAAGUUUCCAUAUAAAUGGAGUGUAAGCCUAAAGGUGCCACAAGAGAGUUCAUAUAAAAAAUAGUAAAAGGGCUUCCCACAUUGAAUUUACUAGCCAUGGUCUUACAUUGUGUGAGUUGAUCGUCUUCCCCAAGUUCACUAAUGUUUAUCACAAACCUUGCCUUAUAAGUCUUUGCGGCCUUCUCCAUCUUCAUGGGAAAAAACAAUUCCAAUUAGAACAGGGAAGAUAAAAUAUAAACUCAAAAUGCAAUUAAUGUAGUAGACGAUAAUCAUUCAACUAAGAUCAGUAACAGAGGGGGGAAAUAACAAAGCCUAAAAACAGAGAAGGUGGAAGGCAGAAGUAAGUUGGAUGAAUUAGAACCAAGAAGACAAGACAAGAUCAAAACCAACAGAUGAGAAGGCUGACACAAACAAUUGAGAGAGAUCAAAAACUGAACCAUAUAAUAAAAAACUCACUCACAUGAUUAUUCUCUGGCCAAAAGAUAAAGGUUAUGUUAUUAUUUUUUUAUGUUUAGUUUCAAAGUAGAAAAUAAGCGAUAAAAUCAAAUAUAAUUAAAAUUAUUUAAAUUAUAUAUAUUUUUCAAUUAUUUAGUCUAUACAUAGAACAGAAAAAAUAAAUAAAAUGAAUUUGAAAUAAUAUAAAAAAUAAUUUAUUAAAUUUAAUUUAUUUUUAAAUUUUCUUUAUCGCUUUUUCUUUCUUCCUAUUUUUCUUUUCCAUUUUUUUCCCACAUUUUCUCUUAAAUUUUCCACUAAGCAAACAAAGCCAAAGAUCCUCAAGUUGCAUAUACAAUUAAAAACGGAAAAAGAAAGAUCUUCUACUGUUCAACAACUGUCAUAUUAAAAAAAAUAAUAAAAAUAAAAAUUCGAUCCCAGUAAAACCUAACACAAAAUUCUUUCCUCAAAGUUAAAUCAUUCACAUAGAAAUUAACUGAGAAAGAAAUAAUAAACUGUUUGGUUGCUGAGAAAAUGGAGGCAUAGAAAAGGAAAUCAAAAUUUUGAAACUCUAUUAUUUCCAUUAUUCGAAGGCCCGGAAGAAAGAGGGAAAAAACUUCCACUCUUACCUUAAUUUAGGUUGUUUUGUCAAUUUCGAGGGAGGAAAAAACAGGAAAUUAAUUUCAAGCGAUUUCACUUUCAGCAUUCUCAGUAACCAAACGGAGCGUCUGAUAAAACUAUCAUAUCCACCAACAGAGCCAAAACCAAAUAUACCCACCAUCAACAUCUUAAAACAAAAUCCAUAAAGAACGAGAAAAACCCAUGCUUUUCUUCAAUGAACAAAAGGAAUCAAUAGAGAGGAUGAGAAAUAGACCUGUUUGAGAAGAUGGGUCUGCUGAUUAAGAGGUCUAAAUCCUCCUCUAACACUGAUAAAGUAAAGGUCAAGAGGCCUGCUACUGCCACUGCUGCUCUGGGACAUGGGCUUCUCCCAAGGCCGACCCAAGUUGAAUGCACAAGCAGAGAGACAACUGUGUUAUAACAGUGCGAACCCAUGAAGGUUUCCCCAUUGUUAACACAGGUCUCACAGCCUCAGCUCUUCAACUGGUAAUUGAUUUCACUCAUAGAUCUGAAGAUAUAUGAGGAAUGUAACCGUCGACACCCGUAUCUCUAAUUUCCUCAGUGUUAUCAAUUGCUUGAUUAAGAUAUUCGCUAAUGAAGCUCCACUUGGCAGUUGGCAGGCAGGACCCAUUAUUGAAGGGAAAUGCCUCUACAGUUCGUUUAUAUUAUGGACUCUUUGACUAAAAUCGCUUUGUCAUAUUUGAAACUUUCCUCACAAACAAACGCACCAUCAGCCAUUAAACAUCAUAUUUCAGCAUUCUUUUUUUGCCCUUUUGAUAAUUGUGACACUGUCACACUCCUAUCUCCUAAUUUUCAAAAAUUAUUUUAAAUUUAUAAAUUGAGUUACCACUUCAAAAUAUAAAUUUUUAAAAUAAAAUUAAGUACAUUUAUACUAAAUAUGUGUAUUUGCGUUUAUUACCUUGUAAUAAUAUUUUAUUUAUUUUAUUCUUUAUUAUUAUUGUAAUUUAGAUGAGUUGGUUCGAUCUAAUCUAAUAUUUGAACGAAUUUGGAUAUUUAUUUUUAAUAUUCAGAUUAGACUUUGGUUCAUUUUUUAAAUCUCAUCUUAAUUUGGAUUUGGCUUGAGAGAUACCUCUAAUGAAAAUUAUUAUGGUUCUCUUUAUACAUUCUAUUCUAUUUUUCUUUUAAUAUCUUUGUUUAUUCUCUCGUCUUUUCUUCUUCUUAUUCUUUUAUUUCACAACAUGUUAUCAACACAGUUCUGAAUAUAUAGAAAAAGAGAAGAAUUCAUCUAGAAAAUUUCUUAUAGGUAUGUAGUCUUAUUCUCUUCGAAUGAAAUAUGAAUAGUAUGCAUUGUAUUAUUAUAAUUUUUAUUUACUUUAUCUCAUAGCCAGAAAUUAUGUGAAUCAUAUUUCAUAUAAUUACAUAUUUUAAUUAUUUAAUAACUAGAAGUUAUAUAGAAAAUUUUUCAUAACUAAAAGUUAUGAAAAAAAUAUGUCCAAUCUUUAUAACAAGAUGUUAUGGAGUAAAUUACAAAAAUACAAAUACGUAGUCGGAAACUAUGCAUAAGAUCCCUAAUUACUUUUUUAUUAUAUUAUAUAACUGAAAGUUAUAUAAAAUAACAUUAUAUGGCCAGAAGCUAUAUAAUGAAGAGUUCAUAAUAUGAAGCUAUGUACAAAUCCAAAAUUACAAAUAUACGACCAGAAGCUAUGUAUAUAACUCAUAAUUAUUUGUUUUUAAUUAUAUAGUAUAACUGAAAGUUAUACAAAAUAAUAUUAUAUAGCCAGAAGCUAUAAAAUGAAUAGUUUAUAGCUUGAAAUUAUGCACAAAUCUGCAUAAUGAAUAGCUCAUAGCUUGAAGUUAUGCACAAAUUUAUAUAAAAAAUAGUUCAUUGCCUAAAACUAUGUACAAAUUUAAAUAUUUUCUUGUUAUGACAAAAUAAUCAUAACUUGAAGUUAUGAAAGAUAUUAACUUUUAAUUUCUUUAUUUUCUUUUAAUUAUAUUGUGUAACCGGAAGUUAUACAUAAAUAGUUUAUAGUCUGAAGUUAUGCACAAAUUUACAUAAAAAAAAAAGUUCAUACCCUGAAUCUAUGUAUAAAUUUGCAUAUUUUUUUGUUUUGAUAAAAUAAUUAUAACUCAAAGUUAUGAAAAAAUAUUGGCUUUUAAUUUUUAUUUCAUAUUCACUUAUUUUUCACAAUAGAAAUCAUGGAAAACAAUUUUUAUUAACAAUGGUUUCAUAACCAGAAACUAUGCAAACAAUUUCUAAUUCUCUUGUAUAACCAGAAGUUAUACAAAACAAAAUUGUCAAUGAACAACUAUGUACCUAGAAGAUAUAUAAUUUUUUUUAAAUUUUGUUAUAUAAUCAGAAGUUAUAUCAUAAUAUAAUUGUCAAUUGUUUAAUGUUAUUAUAACAUUAUUUAAAUUUUAAUUAUUCAUAGCCUGAAGCUAUGAAGAUAAAGUUAGUAAAUUAUUAAUUAUUAGAGCUUGUAUAAGAAGUUAUAUGAAUAUAUAUAUAUAUAUAUAUAUAUAUAUAUAUAUAUAUAUAUAUAUAUAUAUAUAUUAUAACCAGAAGUUAUAUAAAUAUUAUUAUUCAUAAACCAAAGUUAUGAAAAUAAGAAAAUUAAUAUUCUUUGUGCUAAUCAAAUGUUAUGUCAAAGUUGCUAAUAUGUACUUUUUUUUAUAGUUAGAAGCUAUAGAGAACAAAAUUGUUAACUAACAAUUUUGUACAACUUUAUGAAAUUUAUAUGACCAAAAGUUAUAAUGAAAUAUAUUAUAGCUUGAAGCUAUGAUAACAAGCAUAUAGAUAAUAUUUACAUAUUAUCAAAAGAUUAAUAUUUUGUAUAUCAAGUUAUACAAAUAGACAAGUGUUUGAUAGUUUUUAUAAAUUUCUAUUAUUAGAAGUAUAUUGUCAUUAGUAGAAAAAUUUAUAUAUAGAUGUGGAAUUUUGAAUUGCAUGAAAGUAUGAUAUUUUUGUAUCAGAGGCGAUGGUUUGGAAUACUUUUUUUAUUCAAGUUAUUUAAUAUACAAUAAUAUUUUGAUUUAGAAAUUUGAGAUUUUUUGGGUACAUGUGAAAUAUAUGACUUGGUCAUAUGAUUAAUAAAUUGAUUUCGCAUGUCUUAUUUGUUUAUAACAUGUUUUUAUGAUUGAAAUUUUUUGAGUUGUAUAAAAUAAUAUAUAUUAUUGUAUGUUGUCACAUAUGAUAUUUUUAUUAAUGCAUUAAUUUCAUUAUUCAAGAAUAUCUUUUCAAAAACAAUAGAUUCAACUAUUAUUUUUAAUAUAUUAUGUUAUAUCUUUACAUACAUAUUUAUAUAGAUUUGUAAUGUUUCAAUUGAAGUUUUGAAAUAACAAGAUGCUUUAAAUCAUGAUAUGUUCUUUUGAAAUUUUGAUUUAUGAAUUAAUUUCUGCACAUUGAUUUAGAACGUAAUAAUAUUUUGAAUAAAAAUUAUUGAUUUAUCACUACAAUUAGUUUGAUUAUUGAAAGACUUCCUAGUUAUUUCAUAUAUAAAUUGCUCCACACUUAUAAAAUCAAAUGUGUGAGAUAUUUAAGAAACAUAUAACUUUAAAUUAUCUUUUUCAUAUUUGUUUUGUUGUGUUAUAUAUGCUUUCAUUGUUUUUACACAACUUAUUAAGGUAAGUCAUCAUCGAUGACUAGUAUUUUUCCAUUUGAUUUUAACUCAUUCUCUAUGAUAAUAUUUCUUCAACUUUGAGGUCUUUAUGACAUGUUUUAUGACUUGUUAUUUUGAUGAAACUCUUAUCUCAUUAAUUGCACAACAUUGAUAACAAACAAUGUUAAUACUAUAUCAGGUGAUAUAAACCUAAUUAAAGGCUCUAGAAUAACUUAUAAUAUGUCACUAGUAGUAUUUGAUUCCAUGUGAAUGACACUUUAUACGAUGAUAGAUCAAGAAGAAUCUUGUAAGACCAACUUGGUCCCCCAUGGUAAAAGGUCGUAUGGAUGUACAUUAUAAAACCAGAAGUUUUUAUUUAGUAACUAGUCUACCUAUACACUUGAAAGAUAGAAUGACACGUUGUGCAGAUUAUCAUUUUAAUUAGACAAUUUUCUUGCCGUUAGGGAUAGAAGAGUCAAUUCCAGAAGAACAGCGUGAAAUUAUUUGGAAUGCAUCGACUUUGACUUAUCUUGAUCCUCGUACUAAUCAAUGUGAAGUGGAAGUUCAAAAGAUUAUUUAUUUGCAAGAACUUGUAAAUCAUUAACUACAUGUUAUCAUUGAUGCAAAGAAAGUGACAAUCAUUUUCGCUUACCUAGAACAUUCCAGUACGAAUUAAUGUCCCUGAAUGACAAUUAAAUAAUGCGUUGAUGUCCCUAAAUGACAAUUAAAUAAUGAGUUGAUGUCCCUGAAAGACAAUUAAAUAAUGAGUCUAAUGCACACUUGAAGCGUGGUAAACCCUGAAAAGGCAAACAAAUUCCUUUAAAAGAAAAACACAAGGAAAGAUAUAUGAAAUGUGACACUCUUGAAGAAGUUGCAUAUAAAAUGAGUUAUUAAAAUGAUUGAUCAAUCUCAAGCAGCCCCUGAAGAGGCACAGUUUAAACAAGUAGCCCUAUGAUAGGUGUAUGUUUAAUAAUUAGUUCCUGAAAAUGUACAAGUACCUGAUAUUGAUGAGAUCUCAAUUAUUUACUUAUAUAUGGAAAAAAAAUGGGAUUGAAAUACUCUUGUCAUUAACAAUAUAUUUUCUUUCCAAAUAGCUGUUGACAUUAUAAGAAAUGAUGAGGAUCCCAAAGUAGAAACUAUGAAUGAAUGUCAACAUAGAAAAUAUUGGCCAAAAUGGAAAGAAUUCAUCCCGAAUAAAUUAUACUCAUUAGAAAAAUGAGAAGUAUUUGGACAUGUAGUCUAAACGCCUGAAGUUGUCAAACUUAUUGGAUAUAAAUGAGUAUUUAUAAGAAAGUGUAAUGAGAAAAAUGAAAUCACAAUAUAUAAAAUGUGACUCAUAGCUCAAGGUUUUCCGCAGAAACCUACUAUUAACUACGAGGAAACAUAUUCUCCUAUGAUGGACGCAACCAUAUUUAGAUAUCUAAUUUGUUUAACAAUCUUAGAAUGACUAGAUUUGCGUUUCAUGGAUGUCAUUAUUGCAUAUUUACGUGAAUCUUUAGAUAAUGACACACACACACACACAUAUAUAUGAAAAUCCCUGAAGGAUUUCAAAUGCCUGAAGCAACAAAUUCAAAACAUUGUAGCAUAUACUCAAUUAAGUUACAAAGAUCCUUGUAUCAAUUAAGCAAUCCAAAAACAUGUGAUACAAUCACUUCAAUGAAUAUUUGAAGCGAGAAAUAUGUAUGUAUUACCUUAUUUAUUUAUACAUAUUCAUUAUAUUGAAUUUUUUCAAUUAUUAUUGUAUAUGUGGAACAUUGAUUUUUUUUGGAACUCCUGAAGAGCUUACAAAAAUAGUUGACUAUUUAAAAAGUAAUUUUUGAAAUGAAAGAUCCUGGAAAACAAUUUUUUUUUCCUCGGCCUGCAGAUCGAGUAUUUUUCAAACGAAAUAUUAGUUUAUUAGUCAACAUAUACAAAGAAAUUCUUGAAGCACUUUUAUAUGGAUAAAUCACAUCCAUUAAGUUCUUUGAUGAUAGUUCAUUCACUUGAAGUGAAAAAUGACUCCUUCUGUCCUAAAGAAGAUAAUAAAGAACUACUUGGUCCAAAAAUACCAUAUUACAGUGUUAUUGGUGCACCGAUGAAUCUUGUAAAUUAUACAUGACCAAAUAUUGCAUUCUUUGUUAAUUUACUUAUGAGAUAUAGUUCUACACCAAUUCAAAGACAUUGGAAUAAAAACAAUCAUGUACUACAAUAACAUGGGUCUAUGUUAUUCCAAAUGAUCAGAAUCUUAAGUGCUUGAAUAUGUAGAUGUUGACUAUCUUUCACACCCCCACAAAGCUCGAUUUUAAAUGAGGUAUGUAUUUAUCUAUGGUGGUACGACAAUAUCGUGGAGAUUAAUCAUGCAAAUAAUGGAAACAUGUGGACUACCCUCCAUCAAAGGUAAUGCUACCAAGUUAAUAAUGUUGCAUGCAUUGCACAUAUUAAAGAAUGAUACAUUAAGGGUGAUAGAAUUAAGUAUAUAUCGUCCAAGUCUUUUACUUUCAUUAACUCAAAAAGAGUGAUGAAAUUGCUAUUCGACGACAAUUUAGUAGAUCUAUUCACAAAGGCAUUGCCAAUUGUAAUACUCAAGAAGCUCAUUGGAAUACAGCGACUCAAAGAUCUCCAUGUUGUGCUACUAGAGAAAAUAUAAUCAUGUCAACAUGAGGGGGAGCUAAUUGAUAAGAAUAUCACUACGCUACACUCUUUUUUCCUUCAUCCAAGUUUUGUCCCAUUGGAUUUUACUGGCAAGGUUUUUAAUGAGACAGUUGUGGUAAUCCAAAAAAAUAUUGUACUCUUUUUCUUUCACUAGGGUUUUUCCCAUAGGGUUUUUCCUAGUAAGGUUUUAAUGAGACAUUCUUAUGAUCAUCCAAGGAGGAGUAUUAUAAAAUAUGAGAUUUUGUAUCACUAUGGUAACUUGUGGAUGAUCAUUCAUAUUAAUGUACAUCUCUUUGUAACUCCCUAUAAAAAGGAGAUACCUCUAAUGAGAAUUAAUCCGGUUCUCUUCCUAUAUUUUGUUAUACUUUUCUUUGAAUAUCUUUGUUUAUUCUCUCGUUUUUUUUUUCUCAUUCUUUUAUUUCACAACAUAUAUAUAUUGUUAGGAAUUUGAGGCUAAUCCAACUUAUGGUAAUCACCCUAGAGGGGGGGGGGGGGUGAAUAGGGUGAUGGUCUCUUUUCGCAAAUUUAAACAAGUGAAUGUAAGAGACAAUUAUAUACAAAUAUCAAUAUAUAUAUAUAUAUAUAUAUAUAUAUAUAUAUUGUUAGGAAUUUGAGGCUAAUCUAACUUAUGGUAAUCACCCUAGAGGGGGGGGGGGGGUGAAUAGGGUGAUGAUCUCUUUUUGCAAAUUUAAACAAGUGAAUGCAAGAAACAAUUAUAUGCAAGUAUCAAUAUAUAGACAAUUGCAUAUAAAUUAAAGAGUAGGGAAGAGAGAAUGCAAAUACAAGAGUUUAUAGUGGUUCGGCGCAACCCGACCUACAUCCACUCUCCUCUAAUUUCAAUCCUGAGCUUGAGGUUCCAUUAAUCCAAGACUUCCAAACCAAGCCUUCAAGCAAUACAAUUGGAUUAUGGUUCCAAUUCACCCUCUUGGACUUUUGGCUCCAAGCACCCUUUACACUUCUCAAGAGAUAUCCCACUCUUGAACAACCCUUCAAGUGAUACCCCACACUUGAGAAACUUCCUCUCAAAGAUUUACAAAUGAAUGAUCUCUCAAAAAUCCUAGCACAAAAACUUUAAGCUCAAAUGAUACAAGAAAAACUAUGAUUGAAUGGUGCACUAAAGACAUGCAAGUUUUGAAAUAAUGGUGCACUAAAAAAUACUCUUCCAAGGCUCAAAUAUAAUCAAGAAAGAUUUGGGAAGAUUAAGCUCUCGAAACAAUGAAUAUUGGAGCCUUUUUAUAGAAGAAAAAAACCAAACUAGCCGUUGGGGGUUCGUCCGGUUGAGCUAGGGGUUGAUUGGUUGACUAGCCGUUAGCAUUUAAUGAUUGGUAGGUGACUGUUGGGCCUCAAUCGGACCUCGACCGGACCUCAACCGGUUGAUGUUCAACCUUGACCAGGAAGAGAAGGCCACUAGGAGAGAGAGAAACUUUUUAGCCUCCUUCAACCGGUCCUCGACUGAACGAGCACAACCGGUGAAUCGGUUGAACCGGUUGAAUCAUUUUUUGGCUCAAUACCCAACCUUUUUCAACUUAAAACCUUUUAACACAAGUUUGAAAAUCAUUUAACACAAGGUUUUAGUUAAAAAUAUGAAAUCAUCCAAUUCUUAAAAUUUUUAAAACAAUAUUACUUUUGGAUGAUUUUGAUGCAAAAAUAAAGAAUGAAAUGCAUGAAAGUCCUAGUGCACCAACAACCUUACAAAGAGAUCUUAUGAAGCUUUGGUCUUAAAAAAAUUUUCUCUUUGAGGUGAUCUUCUUCUUCAUGAUUUCUCCUUGGCUUGAUUUGUCUUUAUGAUUGCCACUUUGGAAAUCAUUUUGCCUAAUCACACUUGAAAUAUGACCAUUAGUUUUAAACCUUGUUUUGUUAUCAUCAAAAUCAAGAUUAACCAAACUUUGGUUUCACACACACACACACACACACACACACAUAUAUAUAUAUAUAUAUAUCAAACUAUAAUUAUAUAAUUUUUUUAAAUGUAUAAAUCCAUUUUAUUUUUUUAUUAUCUUAAAAUUUUUAUUUUUAAAUAUAGAAAUGUAUUUUUGUUAAAAAAUUAUAUUUCAUAUUUUUGUUCCAUUAUUACUUUUAUUCCUUCUUUUUUGUUUGAUUUUUGCAUGUUAUGUUGUCCAUUUUUCAUUUUUAUUUCUUUCAUUUUUUUUAUUUGGAAAAAAAUAAAUAAAAUAUAAUUAAUAGUGACAAAUGAAAAUAAAAAAAGAAAUGUUGAAAAAUAAAAAUAAAAUUGGUCAUUUUCGUGCAUUUUAUUUUAUUUGUGUGUUUUGAUUAUUCUCCUUUUUAAACAAUUGCAUAAAAGAAAAAAAAAUGAAAAUGAUUGUAGGUGAUUUUCUUGAGGAAAGUAUUCGAAAGUUGAUGUAUAAUGUCAAAGAAGAGUCUUCGUUGUAGGUGGGACGAGAGAGAAAGCUACUUUGAAUUUUGAAACUUUACCAUCUAAAAUCAAAACAAAAUCAAGUGCAAUUUAUGCAAUUUUGUAGGAAAUUAUUAUUAUUAUUAUAAUGGUAUAACAAGUUUAAUAUAAAAAAUAAAAAAAUUGUAGUAUAAAAAUAUUAUAAUAAAAUAAAUAAAUUUAUUUUUAAAAAUAUGAAAAUUAAUAUAAAAAUAUUAGGGAAAAAUUAUGUGUACACAUAAAAAAAUAAAAAAUAAAAAUUGAUGGAUUAAAUUACUAUUGAAAUUAUAAUCCGACUUAAAGUCAAAUUAGAAGAAUUUUAUGAAAUGUCAUAUCAAAACUAAAAUACUAAAAAAUGUGCAGAAUCAAAAGAAAAUUAUAAUUUUGUUCGUGAAAUUAUGACUAUAAACAAUAACUCAAUUCAUUUUCAACUCCAGUAAAAAAUUUGAUAAGUUGUGUAUAUGCAUGUCUUGUUUAAAUCUCAAUAUCUAUAAGAUCUAGUGAAUAAUAGUGUGGACUCCGCAUUUUGCACGAUGUGUUCUCACUCAAUAGCGUGACUUGCUUUUCGUUUAUUUGUGAAAAAUUAUGAUUUUUAGAAAAUACUUGGAGUCGCCACUUAUUUUUGUUUUAUUUUUUUAAGGGAAAACAAAGUAAGAAAAAAACUCUAAGUGUGACUCUUUAUUUAGAAAAAACGGUUUGUGAAAAACCAAACCUGGGUUUGGGGGGUUAGGUUACUUAUUGAGAAGGUAGGGUAAAGACCGUAGCACCCCUCUAAACCCCUAAAAAUGGGUCUCUACUAAAUAAGGUGAGUCAAACCUGACAAUUAACUAGGAGAUCAAUGGAUACUAAAAUGAUCAUAGGUCAAAAGCAAGUCAUGAUAAUGAAUAAAUAAAAAAAGUGAGAGUGAGAACGUACCUUGACAGUAGGUAAUAAAGCGUUAUCAUGGAAACAAGGUUAGCUUAAGUAUAAAUUUAUUACACGCAUAUCAAAGAUCAAGACAAAAAUCAAGCAAUAUUCGUUAAGCAUAACAUUUGACAAUCAGAAGAGAAAACUCAUAUGUGGGACCCCCACCAAAGCCCAAUUUAUCUUGCACGAAUUAGUCUCACAAAUUUCAUUAUUUUGGAAUUAUGAAAAAUUCAUUUUUGCUUAUUUAAAAUAAAGAUAAACAAAAAAUUAUUUGAUAAUUGAAGAAAAUUUGUACAUGUGCAUACCAAAAUGAGAAUGGUAGCAGACUCAUUAAAAUCAGGAUUUUUGGCAACCUAAAACCCUAAUAAAUGAUGAAAAGUUGUAGAAAUUAAAAAAUAUUUGAAAAUUGGAGUGGAAUUAAAAUUGUUCAAGAGAAAACUAGAGUUUUGAAAAUUGAAGUCUAAAAAAUUAUUUGAGAAUUGGAGUUUUGAAAAUUAAAUUUAAGAAUUUAAAUUUUUAGAAAUUAAAUUUGAAAGAAAUUUGAAAUUUGAAAAUUAUUUGAGAAUUGGAGUUUUCAAAAAUUAAAUUUAAGAAUUGGAAUUUUGGAAAUUAAAUUUUGAAAGAAAUUGGAAUUUUGAAAAUUAUUUGAGAAUUGGAGUUUUGAAAAUUAAAUUUAGGAAUUGGAGUUUUGGAAAUUAAAUUUGAAAGAAAUUGGAGUUUUAAAAAUUAAUUGAGAAUUGAAGUUUUGAAAAUUAGUUUUAAGAAUUGGAAUUUUGGAAAUUAAAUUUGAAAGAAAUUGGAAUUUUGAAAAUUAUUUGAAAAUUGAAGUUUUGAAAAUUAAAUUUAAGAAUUUGAAUUAAAUUUGAAAGAAAUUGGAAUUUUGAAAAUUAUUUGAGAAUUGAAGUUUUGAAAAUUAAAUUUAGGAAUUGGAGUUUUCGAAAUUAAAUUUGAAAGAAACUGGAGUUUUGAAAAUUAAUCGAGAAUUGGAGUUUUGAAAAUUAGUUUUAAGAAUUGGAAUUUUGAAAAAUUAUUUGAAAACAAAAGUUUUGAAAAUCAGAAUUUCGAAAAAUUAUUUGAGAAUGGAAUUUUUAAAAGAUCAAUUUUUUAACAUAAAAAGAUGGAUUAGGAGGGUGACACGUCAAACAUUGGAUAGCAGCCCUCUAGAGUGGAAUCCCAAGGUUCUCCUCAAAAAAUACCUCAAUGCCUAAAUGGCUAAGCAUCUGUCUAAAAAAAAAAAGUAGCAAUAGUAGGUUUUCCAUUUGUUCCAGUCACUACUAAUAUCUUAAUACUUCUUGGAAGAAUUUCUGCAGCAAAAUCCAACUCAGACAGUAUUCUCUUCCCUGAUUGCAACAAGAAGGAAAGUCCAUGACUUUCCAAGGGAACUCUUAGUGAAACAACUACCAUUUCGGCAUCCUUGAGAAGCUUUGUGUCAAAAUGUCCAAGAACGAUUUUCAAAUGACCAUGCUUUUCAAACAGGAGAUCGAGCUCUAGCGAGAGCAAGCUUUGUUGCAGCUCUACCAGAUUUUCCCAACAAGAAAACAGGAAGCUCUCAACCAAACCCAAAUUCACGAAAGAGAAUCAAACCAUAUGGGAAACAUCCGGAUCGGCGCGGUAGCUACAGUCUUGUAACAAAUCUCACUUGGGGUCUAGAGAUUCAUGCUACCUCAAGCUUUUUCUUAUCAGCCUCAUCAUCCCAUGGUUUCACAUCCUAGUGUACAAUCGCAUACCCAAGAAUGCACAAACACAAGGAGUAGGGAGAAAACAACAAAAACAUAGCACAAAUGAAGAAAAUAAUAUGAACCAUCAAAAGCCACACUUCAUGUCUUAGUCAGUGGACUUAAAGAUAGGUGGAUUAAAAGGAUUUCUAAAUGUCACAAAAGAGAUAAAAAUUAGUUGGACCAAUUUUUGAACACAAAUUGGAGGAACAAAGGAGCCAUUAACUAUGAAAAAAAAAAUAAAGAUUGGUCGUAUUGGAGAAAGACAACAUUUGGUAUUGCAGAAGAGAGACAACAUUGUGUCACAUGAUGCAUGCACAAAUGACCCUUCCCAUGGGCUUAUAUUGGAGGUGGGAAGCUUCUGAAAACUCCUUAAGCCAUCUAUACUAAGCUAUUGGUGGGAAGAGUGUGGAAGCUUCUUAAAAAGCCUAGGGAUGUCCACAUAUCUCUACAUUAUGGUGGAAGGCAUGAGAAAAGUCUAAGACUUUCUAGAGAGCUCUAGAGGUCUCUUGUAUAUUCUUGUAUGUAAGCUUGUACAUAGAAUUAUAUAGGGUGUUCUAGAAUAUCCAUGAGUUGUAAGGAACCCUCUAAGGUUCUAGAGAGUUCCAUUGGUGUUUAUAAAUAAGUGAGGGUCUCAUUUGGCCAAGGCACCAAGCAAGUGAGUUUCCAAGCAUUAUAUAGCUUUCUUUGAAAGCAGUAAAACUUCUAUUAUUUAAGUGUUGCCUACUACGCCCUCUAAAGUUUUUAAGUUGGGUGCGUCUUAGCGUAGCAAGCUAAGUAUUAGGAGUAAUGUUAACUUAUCAAGAUCAAGGGUCUUGACUUGUCUAAGUGUCGCACAAGCUUAGGAAAAGACUAAGUUUAUGACAGUUGGCAAUAGGUUGUGGAUAAGUGGUGGUGGUGAUGUGGAGAAAGUGAAGGAAACAUAGAAAAAUAAAGACGGGAAAGGAAAAGAGAGAGAAAAAAAGACUACUAGGUAGGGGAAGCUAUGAGCGGUGGCCAACGACGACACUAAUGGAUAAUGUCGUCAAUAGUGGCGGUAGAUUCGAUGGAAGCGGUAGAUUCGGUGGGAAGUGAGAGGUGACGGGGAAUUGAACUUUGGUUCUCCUCCCAUUGCAAUCACCAUCAUUCUCAUUUUCCGCUUAGGAUCAAUGUGCCCCCUCUAAACAACAUUGACAACCCCGUCAUCUUUUUCAUUUCUAGUGUUGUUUUCUAUAAUUGGAACUAGGUUUUCAAAAACAUCAACUAUCUUUGGAGGAGUAGUACUAGUAUUGUGAAUGAUUGAAACUGUGAUUUCAAAAUUAGGUUGGGUUCCAACAUAGAGGUAAUAGAGGUUGUUAAGCCUUUAGGAAGACAUGCACAAGUGAACAAUGUUCUUAGAGAUUAUAAUGGUGGAAGAAGGCCAUAAGAAGACAAGAAAAGAAAAGGGAAAAGAGAAAAGGACUCUCUUUCACGCCACCUACCCAUUUUCAGUGUUGACACCUUUCUCCCAUUGGCAUCAUCCUCUCCAAUCGUCACCUACCAAUCAUCACCACAUCUCUUACUUUCAUGACAAUUUUUUUUAAGAUAAUUUUGGAACAAAUUCAAAAACAUUGUUAGAGUGCAUGCAUUAUUAAAUUUUUUUCUCCACUUUAUACUUAAAAUGAAAAGAUAAAAGCAAAAUUCCAUAAACCUUAUAGCUCGUUUAACCAUAUAACUUAAAAACAAUUUUUUUAACACUUUCAAUUGUGGUUGUUCAUUAUUCUCAAAAAAAAAUAAAAAAUAAAAUAAAACUAGAUUGAAAAAAAAAUCAGGAAACAACCUCAUUGAUUUAAAUUAUUAUUUAAUUACUCCCAUAAUCGUAUGAUUAUUCUUAUGUUUUUGUUAUGUUAUAUUAACAAGUGAAUACUAUGUUGUUAAUUCUGGAUAUCCUUGUACUAUAGGUUUUCUUCCUCCAUAUUGAGGUAAAAGGUAUUAUUUGUAAGAUUAUCCUAGCAGAAGUUGUUAAUCGAAGACUAAUAAAGAAUUGUUCAAUUAUAGGCAUUCUCGUUUAUAAAUAUAAUUGAGUAUUGUUUUGUGUGUUAAAAGCACAUUUUUCAGUUUUAAAAAUGAUGUCAUCUUACAAACCAAGUAGACAACUAUAAAUAGUUGUAGCUUGUUGUACUCUUUAUAAUUUCAUUCAUAAAUAGACUUAAAAUGAUGUUAUGUUUAGACAAUGGGAAGAAGAACUUGAAUUUGAAGAUAAGGACGAUACUACAAUUGAAGUAAGUUAUGCAAUGACUUUAUCAGAUGAAACAACAACGACUAUGAUAGCUUAUCGAGAUCGUAUUUCAUAGUAGAAAUGGAAUGCUUAUGUUAAUAGUUUGUAAACAUUAGUCAUUAAAUAGUUAUAUUAAUAUACGAAGUAAGGAUGUGAAAUAUGAAAAUUGUUUAACUAUUAUAAUUGACUUGAAGUAUUUUGUGUGUACUUGGUUUGCAAUUGUUUUUGUUUCAAUUUAUUUUAUUUUAUUUGUUUUUCCUAUUAAAAAAAUCAAUCCAACUAUUUAUUUUACUCUCAUUAAAAAAUGACUAUUAAAAUUAUUUUUAAUCUUAUAGUAAUUUUUGUUUUAUUUGAAUAAAAAAAAUUGUUUAAUAAUUAAAACAAUUAUUUAUCUAUAAUUUAUAUAUAAUUUGAAUUUUAUUUAUUUAUUUUUAGUGAGAUUUAACUUGAAUGUGAUUUAUAUUAAUGUAAAUUAAAUUUUAAAAAUAAAAAUAGAAAAAUUGUUUUUAAAACCAAAGUCGAUUCUUUUAUACAAACAAGUUUUUGUUUUUUAUCUUUAAAAAUUAUUUUUGAAAACAAUUGGCCAAACAAUUUUUCUUUUUAAAAAAUACUAAAAAUGCCAUUUUUUAUUCUUUAUCUUAAAAAUAAUUUUUUAAAUUAAAAAACACAAUCAAACACCUUAUUUUGUUUUUAUUUUUGGUGUCUGGUUGCAUAAUUUUCCCAUUUUUUAAAACUGAAUUUCAAGCAAGCUCUUAAUUAUGUAAUUAAAAACUUGUUUGGUAGUAAUUUUAAGAAGCGAUUAUAAUAUUCCUAACACUUAAAAAAAAAAUUAUUUUUCAAGUAUACAACGUAGAAAUACUUGUGAGGAUCACUGCUACACAUGCUCUAUGUAGACAUAUCCCACUUCUAAGUUCUAACUCUUCAACGUCUGAACUCUUUUGAUGAAAUCCACACUCAAACCACCCAAAUCCAAGUCCCAAAUGCAGCCACUGCUUCAUCCAGGUCUGCUUCAUUCUCAUUUCAUCACUUCCUUUUUCUAUUAAUUAUUUUAUGAUUGUCCUUUUUGUUUCUUUUGUAUGAAUCCUAAGUGUCUUAUUGUUUUCCAUGGGCAGAAAAUACUUCCAUGAGAAAUUCUUCCCCAGAAAAUUUCCCCAACCUUGUCUGGUAAUAUACCCAUGUUUUUUUCCUAAUCUUUUGCGUCAAGCUUGGAAACUUCUGCUUCUGUCUUGUGCCCCUUAUGAUGGGUUUUGGAGUCAAAAUAAGAGACGUAAUGAUGAAUUCCAGAUAAUCCAUAUCUUAAAGUGAGAAAAUAUUCAAAAAAGAAUUUGUUGUGUUGAGAGGGAUUGCUUGAGAAGUUCAGGAUUAGGGAAUUAUUUUAUCUCAGUAUGGUUUAGAAUUCCAGUUUGGCAAAUUCAGGAUUCAGGACUGGCUUUGGGCUCAAAAUGAUUUGGGGUUUCUACUCAGAAACAUCCAAAAUUGAACUAUUUGACAAAUUUGGGGUGUGGGAGCUGUUCCUUUGUGGGAUAUUUGUGAAUGAUUAUGGAAUUGCUGAACUGUAUUACAUAAAUUCAAAUUUUAUUUGCUUGAUGGGGAAUUGGCCUGGGAAAAGAUAGCUGAUCACAUUAUCCCACCUUUGAUAUCAGCUGUUGCUUUGAUUCUCAAACUUUUAAAUGGAGAAAUGACUGUUGUAGAGAAGAAUAAAGGGAUAAGGUUUUGUUUGGUGGACUUGUUUUCCAUGUUUCUUCUCCUCUAAAGGUUAGGGGUGAAAGCAACUUAUAGUUGAUGGUUGUCUUCAGAAAUAAGCUGAUCAUAUCAUAGCUGACCGAUUUCUUCUUUGGCCAUCUUGAAGCAAUUUUAGUAUUUAUUUUAUAAGCUGAUUUUGGUGUCCAAGAAAUUAUUCUUAACAUAAUUAUUUUUUUUUUAAAAUAUCAAUUAUAUUUGAUUGGUAUUAUCAAUUAUGCUUUGCGGACCAAGCAUGACUCAUCUUAUUUGGGCCUCCCACUACUUUAAUCCUACACAGAUGACACAUUUUUAUUAAGAUCCAGAUCCUAUUAUCAUGGACUGGGCAAUGGAGGCUCAGAUCCGGCCGUAAUCAGACAAGCUGCUGGGCCGCCAUGGCUGCAACUACGGUUGCCUGUAAAAUGAAACCCAUUUCACAGAUCAUCCGGGUUGCCCCACCAAGAAACGAGCCCUUCAUAAUCUCUGAUUUACUUGAAAAGUAUCAUCAUAUCCCCUCGAUUUUCUCAUUGGGAACCAAACAGAUCGAGGACCCUUUGAAGGACCCUAAAUACAUCCAACCAAACAAUCAUAAAUAAAUAAAUAAAGAUGGACAUCACGGGUCCAGGGAGGGCUCAGAUCCGCCUGUAAUCAGACAAGAUCCAUGUUCGCCAUGGCUGCAACUACAGUUGCAUGUGAAAAAAAGGGCAUAGAAACCCAUUUCACACAGUCCGGGUCGCCCUUGGAAAGUGUCAUCACAGCCACUUAAUUUUCCUGCACAUUUUCUCAGCAACCAAAUAGAUACAGAUCCUUCUCAGAAAACACAUUUUAAAACACAAACAAAUAAACCAAAACAAAACAAAGACCAGACUCAGCGCGGAAGUGCAUAGCGCGUAAAAGGAAGGCUCAGAUUCGCCUUUUAUCAGACAAGAAAAAGAUGACCGUCCUGGCUGCAACCACAGUUGCUUGUGAAACAAGGCACAAAAGGUCGCCCAAACCAUCCGGGUUGCCCCGCCAAGAAACGGACAUUCCCAGUGCCUGACUUACUCUGAAAACGUCAUCACAGCCUUUUAUGUUGCCCAUAUGAACAGAGAGAGAGCGCUGUUGAUUUUCCAGAGAAUCAAGACAGCCUCUGAUGUACAUGUACACACGUGUAUGAGAAGCCCUUUUCUGAAGUUCCCAAUAUUUCCUACCAGUCCAGCCCGCGCACAGGAUACAAAUUUUUUUUAAAACAUAUGAUGUUAUUUGGUAAUCUGAUCAUGAUUUGCAGGCAAAGGUCGUGUUUUCCAGCCUGGCUCAAAAAUCGUGGAUUUAGGGUUCGUGAAAUUUAAAUCCAAUAGCACAAAAGCAAAGAGACCCCUAGAACAGAUCCAGAAAACACAGGGAGCAAAGAAAAAAACAAUUUUUUUGGUUUUCGUGGGGGGUUUUGCAUGGAUUUUCUCGGAAAUCAAACGAGGAUGAAUUUUCCCGGAAAUCGAAAGGGGGAUGGAUUUUCUUGAGAAUCAAACGGGGGUUGCAAAAAAAUAAUAAUAAUAACAUGAUUAGAUUAGUACCUGCGAGGAUUGAGAGUGGCAGAGGAAAAUAGGGCCUUUUUAGGGAUUCUCUCGUCCGGAGGGCAACUUCAGAAAAGGACUUCUUGAUGCCCGAGUGAGAGAAGUGGAUGGCCCUUUCGAUUUUUAUAUUUAGUAGAGAGAGAAAACAAGGGAAACAAAUCAUGAGAACAAUUUCGCCAUGGCUGCAACUACAGUUGCACGUGAAAAAAGGGCAUAGAAACCCAUUUCACAGACAAUCCGGGUCGCCCAGCCAAGACAUGGGUCCUUUCAAAUAUCUGAUUUACUUGGAAAGUGUCAUCACAGCCACUUAAAUUUCCUGCACAUUUUCUCAGCAACCAAACAGAUACAAUAUCCUUCUCAGAAAACACAUUUUAAAACACAAACAAAAAAACCAAAACAAAACAAAGACCAGACUCAGCACGGAAGUGAAUAGCGCGUAAAAGGAAGGCUCAGAUUCGCCUUUUAUCAGACAAGAAAAGGAUGACCGUCAUGGCUGCAACCACAGUUGCUUGUGAAACAAGGCACAAAAGGUCCCAUCGCACAAACCAUCCGGGUUGCCCCGCCAAGAAACGGACAUUCCCAGUGCCUGACUUACUCUGAAAACGUCAUCACAGCCUUUUAUGUUGCCCACAUGAAGAGAGAGAGAGCGCUGUUGAUUUUCCAGAGAAUCAAGACAGCCUCUGAUAUAUAUGUAUAUAUAUAUAUAUAUACACACAUGUGUAUGAAAAGAAAGAAAAGAAAGAGCGAAGGAAAAGGGCAGUUGAUGGGCGUAGUAGAAGGAAUCAUCGGCUCCGACGACCAUGAGAUUCAGAGAGGGGCAACCACCCUUAGAAACUCCCCAUCCCUCCGAGACAGUCACAGGAGCCUCAGUCUUAAACUAAUGAG